UCACAACAAUUUCCUUCAUUACUAAUAUGUUACUACUUAAAAGAGUAAAUUUCUGAUCACUCUAUUUCUGAGAUGGCUGCCAACUCUUGGUGAAGACGUCUCGCUGGCAUGCGGCCUGCGCUGGUUCUCUUAGGGACAGUGGAGCUAAAAGGAUCAGGAGGCUUUGUUAAGUUUUCUCCUUCCCCUUCAAGCAUCUGGACAACAGUUUUCAUGGAAGGACGCUCUGCUGGGUUCCACUGAAUGCACCAUAGCCCCACAAUUGCUAGUUUCUUUGCAAUUUUAGCAUCUUCUUCUCCAUCGAUAUGAAACCGCAGGUCUUCUUCUUUUCUAAGAGAUUAUAAAUCCAUUCCGGGAAGUAUAUCUGGUCGCCAUUUUCUGCUGUAUCAUCGACGUUCUUCCUUCCUCCAACCAUUUCCAACACUAACAUCCAAAGCUGUAAACAUCUGAUUUAUAGGAAACACUCCCGAAGUUUCCUCGAGAACACUUCUGGGGCAAUGUAGCCAACAGUCCCCUAGCAGUCGUCAUGGAAAUAGCACUUUUAUCCUUGGAACACAGCUUUGCCAUCCAAAACGGCGAUUUGGGAUUAAAUUCGUUGUCAGCAGGAUAUUCUUGGUUUGAUAUCAAAAUGGAGGAUUCUUUGAUCACACCCCUGGUGAAGAUAUUCAAUGCCCUUGGCUAUGCUUAGAGCAACACGAUUCAACCUUUCCCAGCCAAGGAAAUGGUUCCUUGAGUCUGCUGAGUUAUGAACUUCUGUAAUGAACCAUUUGGCAAGUACUCAAAACCAGAGCUCGUCUAAAUCCAUCAGCACAGAAACCGAUCAAAGCGAACAACAUUGACAUGGUGAUCCUUGCCAUUGUUCCACUUCAUUGAUGAAUUCCUCCCCUUUUCCUAUGGAAUUAUUGAGGAGCUUCACAGCUACAGCAAUUUCAUGGUUAGCUUUCCUUUGAACACGGUUCCAUAAGCUCCUUGCCCAAUUCAUCCCGGAAUUGAUUUGAUCCUCUUGAAUCAGCAUAGGAGUACCUAGUGGGAUUCAGUGAUCUGUAAUCAUCCAAAAACAUUUCAACCCUGGCUUGAUAUUCUCUUGUGUUUUAUCGUUGCAAUAGCGCGGUAGAGUGCAGUAAUCACUAUUGCAAAAAGGAAGAAUCCUAAAAUCACACCUGCAUAUAAACAUUCCGAGUCAGGAAACUCUUUUUUUUGGGAAGUAAUGUAUGAACCAAGUGUAAAAUUGAGAUGGAGAUUUGAGCAGACUACAAACCACAAUCAGUAGCUUUCGCCGCACAUCUGUAAGGAUUGAAACUUAUUAGCUUCUCCCUUUAGGCAAUUAGUAAAAUCAUGAAAGCAACAAAAACGGAAAGAGUUUCUUUUUAAUUUGAAAAACCCUUAUUUUUUUUAUAUUUACGUAUUCAAAUGCAAAUUAUUAAUUUGAAAAAAGGAAGAAAGAUAGAAAAGCAUACCUUUAGUGUGCGGAAGAAUGCUGUAGCAUUCAGCUUCAGAAGAUCCACAAGUUGGAUUGGACCAAGACAUAGUAAGAACAUAAUUUUCUUCAAGCAACAUACUAUAUGAAAUUCGAUAAAUGUUGUACAUCUUGGUACAAGAUAACAAAUCAGAGUAACUGAUGGGAAUUCCUGAGUCAACGGCAUAAACUUCAUGCUUAAAAGUACUCAGACAUGGGAAUUUAUCCAUGUACGAAGGAGACCUAUAGGUCUUCAUGCAAAGUCUUGAUGGUCUUGAUUAAACUUCUUCCAUGCCUCCCCGUCAGAUGGAUGCACCAUAACUCCAUCAUCGGACCUAUGAAAAUGAUGCCAUGUCAUAUCUUUGGCAUGAUGUGGAGACAUGAAUAGCCUCUGAAGUCUUGGUGUCAAGGGAAAGUAUCGGAGUUGUUUCUCUGACUUAUUAGAACCUUUACUAGUGGGAUUUCUAGGUUUGUAUCGUAAACUCCACAAAAGUCACAAUUUGUUUUCAUUGCAUCUACCCCAUAGUACAACAUACAAUAAUUAGGACACACAUCAUAAUUUAUCAUAACCAAGUCCAAGUGGCCGCAUAAAUUCUUGGCAUCAUAGAAACUUGAAACCAAAUUUCCAUUAUCAGGCAUGCAACUUUUGUAAAUUCAGUAAAUUUGUUGAAGGCAGUCUGAGUCAAAUUUAGAGUUGACUUCAUAUUAAGCAAUUGUACACAAGCAGAUAAUUUAGAUUGCUUGAUACACCCAUCCCAUAAAGACUCCUCUGCAGCUUUAAGUAAUUUAAAAAUUUACUGCCUCUGGAUUCGGAAGUUCUUCUGCUAUCAUAGAUAGAAACCUUAUCAUUAGAGUAUGUAUCACCAACCCCAUGCAUGCAGAACCAUAUCCUAUAUGAAUUUUCUUCAAAAACAUCAUUCACAACAUGACACCCAACGAUGAAGGUCCAGCAAUUAUUGGUUCUGAAACAUAAGGCUCCAUGUACAGUCCAAUUUUCAUAAUCAGGUAAAAAUCCUCUUGAAACAGGUCUUAUAAACUUCUUCCAUUAAAAAACUUUGAUUUUUGCACCUAACACAAGACAUCUAAUUUUCCUCCAGAUACAUUUUCAUCAAUUGAAAAUGCAAAAUUGAUAAAUCUUCGUACACCCAAUAAAUUCCGGACAAAUAUGACCAUCCCUACGACGGCGAUACAUCCAUGAUCGAUCGUCCAUAUUAAUCUAUUUAACAUAAUUAAAACAAAAAAAUUAGAAUAUUAAUAUAUUUCUUAAUAUAACUUUAUAUAACAAAUAUCAAAAUAACUUCAUUAAUAGCUAGCUAUAAUUUAAAAAUGAAAAACUCUUACAAUACAUCUUUUAUUGCUAAUUGUUUUUACGUUCGUAAUUGAGAUAUCAUAAGAUGUGAUUUAAUUUAACAUUAACUAAAAUAUUACUGAAUUUGAAAAAUCCAAUGUAAGCAUCACAGUAUGUGUUAAGCAUUUUUGCAUCAUGAACAAUAUACAAGGACAAUGUUUAAAAUACCGUAGCUAUAUGACGCUUCCACUUCCCCAAUAUUUUCAGCAGAGACUGUAGCAACACCAAAUUGAGUAAGGGCUCCUGCAAAGAAUGAAGAUGAAGCUCAACAUUACACCUAAAUAUGUAGAAGCAUGGUGACGCAUAGAAACAGUGCCAUAACUUAAAAAUUGUUGAAAUUGCACAAAUGAAAGAAGGCUACUGCAAAGAAAGCUCCCUCCGAGUCAAUGCAAGAACGACGAAGACAGACAAUGUAAGGAAAAGACAAUGCCUUAACUCUAUUGGAUAGACAGUGACAUGCAAGAAGUAAAUAAUUCUCGAUGUCCAGAGACAUUCUCAAGAUUCCCAGUCACAAUAAGUAAAAUAAACUAAUUAAAUCUCCACGGAGCACUAAGUCUUCCGGUUUUGUAACUAGUAAUUUAUACCACUAGUUAGUAAAUAUGCUUAUCGAUGCGAGAUCGCUCUCUCAAUCCUAACAUAUAUGCUGAGACCAUAUUGUGAAAAUGACAAAUUUGACUUUAAACAAUCCGUCACUUUUCUCGUAUAUUAGGCAUCUUGUUCAAAUUGAAGCUAAAUAAUCUUAAUUAAUUAUACUCUUUGACUAGCUAACAACUUUUUGUAAAUCCUCGAUAGGACUGUGCCCUUUAUCCUUUCUUUUCUCCCCUUACAUCCUGACAUCACAUAACAUUCGCAAGCCACCCUUUCAUCAAACCAAUUCUCAAGCUAGAGUGAGCUUAACCCUUUGAAUGUAGGAGUCUUUGUAGAGGGCUCUGCAUCAAGAAUUUCAUUAGAGAAGAUGAUUCACCCACCCUAGAACUCCCCCACUUUGUCAUUGUGUUCCUCUGAGGUCUCUCAUCAGAGCUUGAUUGCAUGUUAAUUACGAUAUCUACAUUAACAUAGCCUAAAUUAACUUAUGUCGAGCUAGCUAGGAACGUUAUGAGGAACCUUAUGGUCCUUUUACAUCUUUUGCAUGCUCUGUUUGCAACAUUUUCUCGUUACCGCAAAGAAAGCAAUAGUUUGCAACACCACAACAUUUUUCAUGCUCUUAUUGCAAUAAUCUCAACCCUCUCUCAGUAUUUUUUUUUUAUACCUUACAUUUAAUAAAUAUUAAUACUACAAUUAAUAAUUAAAAUAUUAGGAUGUGAUAAAGCUAUAUAACAACUAAUUUGCAAAAAAUCAAACAAAAUUAUUAUCUCAUCAUAAAAUUAAUUAAUAAAAAAAAAUACGUUAUCUAAAUACAAAUAAACUCUUAAAUUUAGGUUCUAAUUAUACCUGUUUGGUUGCAACUGAAACGUGGAUUCUUGGUGGAAGCAAACACCAAUCUUUGCCAAGUGGGUUCAGGAAAAGUUAAAGAUUGCAAAUGGGAGCACAACACCGAUUUUGCAAAUGGUUUAAGCACACUACAGGACAAUUAAAGAAAGCAAAAGUGGGGUAAUUGAAAAGGGUUGUUUUGGAGUUACAUGUCUGGACAAUAAUUGAAGAGAAAACAGAGGAGGGAUGGGUUUCGGCAAAAGGAAGAAAGGGACAAAUUGAUUGGGUUAGGGUUUUUUAAGUGGAGAAUGAAAGUUUUUGAUUUUGAGCUGGAGUAAUAAAUUGUCUCCUACGGGUGUUUUUGUUAUAAUAUAUAUAAAGUCAAAUUUUUUUUCUUCUCUUUAUCAGCAAGCAAUGUAAACCGUGCCAUUAUAUCAGCAACGGAUAAUCCGUUGCUGAUUUUUAAUAUAUUAAUUUAUUUUUUAGCAACCGAUUUUCUGUUGCUAAAUCCGUUACUAAUAUUAAAAAAUUAGUAUAUAUACAAUUCGUUGCUAAUCCGUUGCUAAAUUUGCAACUGAAAUAUUUCGUUGCUGAUUGCCGAUGCUACUGACCCCUUUUUUUAGUAGUGCUAUUCUCACUAGAAAGUGAACAAUUGAACAAGGUCCAACCAUAGUACAGCCAAUCGUUCAUAAUUUGGAAGUGAGAAUCCCCUAAACUGAACUUUAAACGUUGCCUUGGAAAGCAACCUUGAGGAUCCCUUGCAUAAAUAAGUCGAUGUCUAUAGUCAAUUCUUUCGAUGAGGAGACUCAAUCCAGUUGGCAGAUUAAGCACUGUGCCGUUGUCCUCUGAGCAGGAUAGAUCAAACCCAGGAUAUCCACAGUGGUCUGGUUGUUUUUCCUUGAUCCGGAAAGGAAAUCGGAUGUCAGGGCCACGGUUUCCACAUGAUCCUGUGCAAUUCAAGCUUGCUCCAUGGUCUGCAAGGAAGACAAUGAAAAAGAAGAACAAACACGGAAACAUUUCUGAUGAAUACUUCAUCAUCUCCACACUCCUCGACUUUAUCUGCAUGUUCUGAUAUAGUUUUGGCCGUUCAGAAAACUCAUGUAGUCCUUAGAUGGGUGAGUCCUUUACACUGUAGUACACGCAUCCUUGCAUCCCUCCCUUCGACAUUAAAAAAUAUAUUCAAAAAGACUGUCUGGUUCAGGUAAUUUUGGUCGGUUUUUAUGAUUAAUUUGCUCAUCCCUAAUGAUAGUAAUAGUCUCUCUAUCUACAUAAUGUGAAUUUUAAUUACAUGGUCGCACCCUUAACGCUUAAUUAACGCUUAUGCCAGAUGGGACGGGUGCGAGAUUCUCAACAAGAAAUAAUUAACGCUUAACGAUUAACGCUUUGACAAGUUCUUUAACCUUUCAAUCAGUUGGGAAGGGAGGAAAAGUCUUGCUUUGACAAGUUCUUUAACCUCUCAAUCAGUUGGGAAGGGAGGAAAGGAAAGUAAACGGCUCUCUGUUGUUGUCUUGCUACAUAGCUUUUUUUUUUCAGAUAUCAGUAUUUAAAUACUGAUUUAAGUUCUUUUUCAAACACGCUAUCAGUAUUUAAGUACUGAUUUAAGUUCCUUUUAAUUUAAGUACUGAUUUAAGUUCCUUUUCAAACACGCUAUCAGUUAUUUAAGUACAGUUGGACUUCCAAACUUGAAUAUUUUUGACAUUAGACUAGAGGUUACAAUUGAAUUGUCACUAUCUUUAUCUUGGAAUAUCUCGUGGAUUUGGUCUUUGAUGAGAUGCUCCAACAAUAAUAUCAAGCUCGCUGGAUUUCGUUGUUUGUGGUAUUGUCACUUCAGCCUUCCCCAUGUUUAGAGGAAUGAACGUCCUUUUGGCUUGCUACAUAGCUUUUCUUUUACAGCUAUUAGUCUUCCAAACUUGCCAUUCUAGCAACUUCACUGCUCAUUGUGCUCCUUCUUCAUGCGGCAAUAUCCAAAACAUAAGCUUCCCUUUCAGACUAAACACUGAUCCUCAAAGCUGCGGAAACUAUAAUUAUACUCUGAUUUGCGAGAACAAUAUUUCUACAGUAUUAUAUUUGUAUUCAGGUAAAUACUACGUGCAGGCAAUCGACUACGGUAACUUCACAAUCCGAGUGGUAGAUGCUGGUGUACAAGAUAAUUGCUGCUCCAUCCCUCGUUAUUCUUUGGCACCUGAUGACUUCCGUUACGGAGAUCGAUACACAUGGUAUACCUACAAGGAGGUGCCGCCGCCGGUAGUGAGUGAAGGUUUCGUGGAUUAUUGGGGGCACCGGUACUUACCUCCACUAUCACAGCCUAUGAUUUUCAUGAGCUUUGAAAAUACGGUGAAUUCUCCUCUUUAUGUGGACACUGUUUAAUAAACUCAAUCCAGAAGUUCCCAGAUGGUCAAGGAAGGCAACCACCAGCUGCCACCGACCAGCCGCCACUGUCCAGCCGCCAGCCACCAGCCGCAGCCGCCAGCCGCCUUCACACCUGCUGCCGCCAGCCGCCUUCACACUUGAAGGUUGAAUUUUCGUAUUUUCAAUUCGUGUAUAAAUAGAGUGCCCAGCUUAUGUUAUAUGUGUGGAGAGAAUUGAGAGGAACACUAGAAAGAGAAUAGAGAGAGAGAGAGGGCGUGUAAUUGUUAAGCUUUUAUUGUGUUAUUGUAAGCUUCGGUUUUGUGUAAUAAAACAAUGUGUUUUAUCCCCUUUGAGUGUUUCAAAGCCACCACCAGUGGUUUCUCCCGCCAACAAUUGGUAUCAGAGCCCCGUUCAUCGAAAAACAGAAGAGUUUUGGGGUAUAUCCGAAUUUUCAAAGUUGUCAAAAACAAGUUUUGAUCAUUCCACAGUGUAGAGCUCAUCAAUACGAACUCACUGCCGCAAAAAUCAGCCUCAUCGGAGUCCGAGGUAGCCCACACGCGCCAUCUGAAUAUUCUGACAGAUCGUCCACGCGCAUCCCACGCGCCCCGAGGUUGAAGACGACUGAGCCACACGCACGCCAUAUUUGAGCCGAGCCGAGCCGUAUACGCCGAGUCCUAGCCGAGCCACAAGCCGAGUCCAGCCGAGCCGUACCUCGCGCCGAGCCGAGCCGCGUUCCAGCCUCAGCCGAGCCGAAGGAAUAUUCCCCAGAAUAUUCCUCGAAUAUUCCCCAGAAUAUUCCCGGUUAAACCCAGCGAACCGCCCGCCGUACAAUUAUGCUCGAUAAUCAACUUCUUUUCACGGUUAAAAGAUUAAAAAAUUAAUUUUUAUUAUUAAUAAUUUUUUACUCUUUAAAUAGAGAAUGGCUUUAGAUUAAUUUUUUAUUUAUUCAUAAUUUGUUUAUUGAUUAAGGAUUAUUGACUUAAUCUCUAUGUGCUUUAUGGCGGGAUUUUAUUGAAGUAAUAGUUCAGAAGCUUUUUGUUAACUCAGAGUUGUCAUCUUCAAUAUAUAAGCUUUUAAAUUGCUCAGGCACUUCGAAUGAAGUUGAAAGUGCGGAGGAAACUUCAUGGAUAGAUUGCAGGUCUGAAGACAUUUACAGCUGAGAAUUGAAGCUCUAGGGGAACUACUUGCAGUCAGUGUUGAAGAAAGCGCAAGAAAGAGUGCCUAAACACUUCAAAAGACAGGAGGCUCAAGCUUAAAGGAUGCUAGAUGUUAUCUAAUUGAUUUUUACUAGAGAUUUUCAGAUUGAUUCACUUAAUGGAAGAACUUGCUUGCACUGUCCUGCUUAUUAUGGCCAUUUUGAUUACCUUCAAGCUACUCUUUCUGCUGCCAUCAAUCCAACCUGUUACUGUUUCUUGGUAACUAUAUCUUCAAUGUAAAGAUUGAUUUCGCUUUCUCUUCUCUUCUGUUUUUUAUCAGAGUAAUCUUUGCAUAGACAAUGAACUUCGGGUGAGCCAUGCAAGCCCCGCAGGUUACUGAAAAUUGUUGCGCAAGAAAUGAGAAACGCAGAGGAAAGAAAAGAAAAGUGAAUUUUUGAGAGAAGGAAGGUGUGUUCUGCUCUUUUGGAGAAUUAUAUGUAGAAACUUAGUUUAUUCUUUUUUUAUUUCUCUUCUUCUUGUAUUGCCUGUACCAGGGGAUACGAAUGUAUAUAUAUACACAUUUGCUAACUCUUAACUAACUCUCUUAACUAACUUAACUGUUAUAACUAACUCUUUAACUGUUAUAACUAACUUUGCACUACUAAUAGCUAAUCUGGAGCCUUGGCACUAAAUUGGCUGAGAGUUUGGACUGCAUAGGAUAAGUCCGGUCUUGUGAGUGUAAGAUAUAAAAGCCUCCCAAUCAGUCUACGAUAAGAUACAGGAUCAUAUAAGGAUGGACUAAUAUCAUGAGUUGUGAGUUUUAGAGUGCAUGCCAUAGAAAAACUGACUGGUUUAGCACCAGAAAAACCACUAUCUGCCAACACAUAUAAAACAUAUUUUCUUUAGCAAAGAACAAUGUUUUUAGCAUAUUUAGCUACCUCAAUGAAAAAAAUACUUCUGCUCUCCCAAAUCUUUUAUAGGAAAGGAUGUUGUGCAAAGGAACUGUUUCACAUUGUUUAUUUCUGCAAGAUUGUUGGAAGCUAUGAUUACAUCAUCAACAUAAGUUAACAUUGCUAUAAAAUUGUUGGGAGUUUGUCUAAUAAAGAGACUAGAAUCUGAUUUUGCAUGUAGGAAACCAAAAUGUAAUAGAGAGGUAGAUAGCUUGGAGAACUAUUGUCUAGAGGCUUGUUUCAGUCCAUAUAUGCUUCUUUUGAGAUUGCAUACCCGAGGAUCAUUUGGAUUUGAGAAACCUGGUGGUAAUUGCAUAUAUACUUCUUCAUUUAAGUCUCCAUGCAAGAAGGCAUUGCCAACAUCAAGUUGAUGUAAAUGCCAGUGUUUGACAGCAACAAUGGUAAGAAGAACUCUGACUAUUGUCAUCUUUGCAAUAAGAGAAUAAGUAUUAAAGAAAUCGAUGCCAACUUGUUGAGUGUAGCCCUUAGCUACCAAUCUUACCUUAUAUCUUUCAACCUUGUCAUCAGCCUAGAAUUUCACUUUGUAUACCCACUUACAAUCAAUAACAGAUUUGUUUUGAGGCAAAAUUACCAGAUCCCAAGUUUGGAUUUUCUCAAGAGCUUUAAUUUCUUUCGUCAUGGCAUUUUGCCAAUGAGAAAUAGAGCUGGCUUGUUUGUAAGUUGUUGGUUCAAACAUAGAUGAAACAACAAAAGUGAAAGCUUGAUGUUUAAAAGACAAUUUUGAAUCAGAUAAGAAGAAGAAUAUAGAGUAUGGCUUACCAAAAAAAGAGCAGUCCGAAGAUAUUAGAUUUGCCGAAGGAAUCUGAGCCAUAUUUCCACAAUAAUAUUGCUUUAAGUAAUUAGGUGGAUGCUUAGUCCUUUCAGAUCUUAUGAGGUUAGGAACAUCAUUGUUGUUAAAGGAAGAAGUUACAGGAACAUAAUUUUUUAAAGGUAGUGUUGUAGGAAUAACAUAAUUUUGAGGAGCUAUUUGGCUGGGAUACAGGGGAAUGAAUCAAAGGUUUGAGGAAAGUCAAGAAACACAAAAUGAUUGGAAAAUAUAAAAAACAUAUCAAUUCUAAGUAAAAAAAAAAAAAUUAAAUUUUUUGAAAGUACUUUUAAAAAAGCACUCCCAAAUAGGUAAUAAUUCAUUGGUGCUCGAGCCAGACAACAAAGCAUCUCUUUCGUUUGAUAUUUUAUACUGAAAGAGCCGGUCAAUUAUUUUUAUAUUUCCUUAGUUUCUUUCAUAGCAAAGCGCCCUCAGGUCAAUGAUUAAGAAUAUUUGUAGGGUUCUUGAUUAUUUCUUCUUGUCGAGAAGCUUGUGCCUUGUAGCAAUCUAUCACGGGGUGCUUGUCAAGAAAGAUUUACAUAUUAUAAGGUUGAAGUGGUCAAGGGAAGAGAUGACAGGAGGAGGAUAAAGCACAUGAUCUCUCUAGGAAUUCUAUGUACACUGCUCGAUAAUCAACUUCUUUUCACGGUUAAAAGAUUAAAAAAUUAAUUUUUAUUAUUAAUUAUUUUUUACUCUUUAAAUCAAGAAUGGCUUUAGAUUAAUUUUUUAUUUAUUCAUAAUUUGUUUAAAUUAUAUUAAACGAAAAAAUAAUUUAACCUUUCAAUCAGUUGGGAAGGGAUGAAAGGAAAGUAAACGGCUCUAUGUCCUGUUGUCUUGCUAAUGUUUCAAUCAAUGACUUAAGGGCCUGUCAGAAGGAAACGAAAAUAAUGGGGCUUUGACAAGUUCUUUAACCUUUCAAUCAGUUGGGAAGGGAUGAAAGGAAAGUAAACGGCUCUACAUAGCUUUUCUUUUUCAGCUAUCAGUAUUUAAGUACUGAUUUAAGUUCUUUUUCAAACACGCUAUCAGUAUUUAAGUAUAGUUGGACUUCCAAACUUGAAUAUUUUUGUCCUUAUCUUUACCCUACAACGGAAGGAAGGAAGCUCGUGGAUUUGGUCUUUGAUGAGAUGUUCCUACAAAAACAUCAAGCUCGCUGGAUUUCGUUGUUUGUGGUAUUGUCACUUCAGCCUUCCCCAUGUUUAGAGGAAUGAACGUCCUUUUUGCUUGCUACAUAGCUUUUCUUUUACAGCUAUUAGUCUUCCAAACUUGCCAUUCUAGCACCAUCACUGCUCAUUGUGCUCCUUCUUCAUGCGGCAAUAUCCACAUUAGCUUCCCUUUCAGACUAAACACUGAUCCUCAAAGCUGCGGAAACAAUAACUAUGCUCUGACUUGCGAGAACAAUAUUUCUACAGUAUUAUAUUUGUAUUCAGGUAAAUACUACGUGCAGGCAAUCGACUACGGUAACUUCACAAUCCGCGUGGUAGAUGCUGGUGUACAAGAUAAUUGCUGCUCCAUCCCUCGUUAUUCUUUGGCACCUGAUGACUUCAGUGACGGAGAUCCAUACACAUGGUAUAACUACAAGCAGGUGCCGCCGCCGGAAGUGAGUGAAGGUUUCGUGUACUACUGGGGGCCCCGGUACUUACCUCCACUAUCACAGCCUAUGAUUUUCAUGAGCUGUGAAAAUACGGUGAAUUCUCCUCUUUAUGUGGACACGGCUCCCUACGGCCUUAACUAUGGAUCAGGAAAUUAUUCCAACUCUUCUCUUGUGACUCAUUCGAAUUAUGUGACUCUUGGGGGCAUGAAUGCCUCGGAUUUGAUGGAACUGUGCAGCAUAGAGAAAAUAUUUUUGCUUCCAAAGAAGAACUACACAGACAAUUACUCCUUUGAAGAAAUACACAGUGACCUGGCAUAUGGGUUUGAGCUUUCAUGGUACAACAUAAACUGUGAAAAUUGCAGAAGAGGUUGCUACCUCGACAGUGCAGACCGUAGUCGAUGCAUUGGUAUGUAACACUUGAUGAUUAAGUUGCAUCACUUUGAUUCAUAAGACCGUAUAUAACUUGUGAUUUGAGAUGGUUCUGUUGGGCGGAAUCCGGGGACUGGUGAUGUACUGAUAAUUACUCAACGGAAGGAUAAGCACACUGAGACACAAUAUUUUACGUGGUUCGGCAAAACCGCCUACAUCCACGGGAGAGAGUCAUUUUAUUAUAGAUAGAGAAGGGAUACAAUAAAUACAUGGAGGAGGAGGCAUAUCCACUCAACUCAACUCACUAUUCACGCAGCUGCAAUGGCUGCAGGGCUGCUGCCCAUGGCAGCAGCUCUUUCUCUCCUCUUUCUCUUCACUUCAUUCUCAUGUUCUCUCACACUUUGCUCUCUAAGAUCAUGCCUCUUUUAUAGGCAUCAAUGGUGGCUUCUCUUGCUCCUUUGUCAUUAAUGGUGGCUGCCAAACUCCUCUUUUCUUCAACAAAGGCUGCUGCCAACUUCUUCUCUUCUUCAACAAUGGUGGCUACCAAAGUCAAUGGUUGUAGCCACCAUUAGUUGAACAUGUAAUGGCAACAUACCUAACAAUCACCCCCUUUGCCAUUCAUGUGGGGCAAUUGUCCGCUUGCUUUUUCAGCACAAGCUUGCAUCAUGCAGCUCUUCCAAGCUUACCAUUCCGAGAGCAUCUCCGGCCAAGUUUACAGGUACUCGCCAAACCUUUCAAUCACCAGAGUCACUAAAGCACACCCUUGCUUACACCAAAGGAUCACUUCAACCAGAUGGUCUCACACAUCACAUCUGAAGAGUGUUAACGCUUGUCUCUGGGAACAUUCCCCUUCGAGCGUAUCAACCAUGCUCGGUCCGGAAUGAUUUAUCAAGCCUCACACCAAGGCUUACAACACCCCCUCAAACGGAUAUUCCAAGUGCGACAGUCAUUAUCUGAGUAUCUCAAUAUGAUCACAAGCCCACCACUCUUCCAAGAGUCUACUCAUCCAGGAGUUGCGCCUGCCCUCUGUUCCACCAUAGGAACCACGCCUUACUUCUCCAUGAGUCUCCCGCUCUUAGUCGUAAGAGUCCAGGUAGCUCUCCACCUUUAAUAAUGGGGGCAGCCCAUUAAAGGUUGAUCCAUGUAUGUCUUCAUACUCUGAGUAUUACAAUGCCAUCACCGAGCUCACCACCUUGACAAGAGUCAACUCGUUCCCAGAACCUGCGCAUGCCCUCUGCUCCUUCAUAGCAGUCGCGUCUUAAUGCUCCACAAGUCACACACUUAUUGUCCAAGGCAAAUGUCUUCUAGCUCAUUGAUCUUUAGCAUGGGGGCAAUAUCCAUGAAAGUCAAUCCUGCAUUUGUCUUCAUACUCAUCAUAGCCACUUCAUUGGCUAUCCAUUUGUCCACUCAUAUCCAGCCAUCACAUUGGCUCUGGGGCGUUCUGAACUGGGCUCAUAUCGUGGCCCACACACCUUUUCAUUAGGUGUCUCCGCUCGUCUUCAUGCGGCGGUCUGAAAUCUAGGCUCAUAUCAUGGCCCUCACACCUUCCAUCCGAGCGGUCUCAUCCUCCUUCAUCGGGAUGACUCAAGUGGCUUCAAGAUUCUCUACCACCAUGUGGACUUGGGAGAUAUUACUGCCACUGACUACAUAGAAAGAGAAAAUUGCGGUAUACUCCUCGCAAUCCUCCACCUUGAUUUCUAUGUUUGGAGCUUCUACAUCUUUCAGCUUUACAGCUCCACCUACACCACUCUCUUUGGUGUCUUCGCCUUUCAUAGGCGGUCGCCUUGUAUCACAAGCGUUUGCACCCCCUCAAUUAGGUGCCUUUGCAACAGCUCUCUUUCCAUCCUUGCAUGCAUUGGAAAGGUCUUCGCCUGUUGUCUUCAUCAAGAGCAUAAGAGACUUCCUGUUGUACAAACUUUAACAGUCUCUACUCUGAGCUUCAUUUGGGAACACUUCUUCUCCUUGCACCUGUUGUCUCAUUACAGUACCUCGUUGGAUCCCUCGGGUACUCUUGCACAAUCUUCGUGUGCCCUCGUGCAAUUAAUGUUCUCCAGAUUUCUCCCUAUUCCUUGCUUAUGUUUGACAGCAGCUCAUCCCGUCACAACACCUGUCCAAGUCAAAAUAGGGUGCCAAUCUUUAUCCCCUUGCUGUAUUUCUCUUCCAUUAUCAGGGUCUUCAUCAAUUCUCCCUUCGAGAAAUCACAAUCAUCGAAUCUACCUUCUUUGGAGAAAUCACCACUCCAUCAGAUCCUUGAUCAUGCGGAACCCAACUGUUCCCCUUGUGCCGUCAUCCUGCUAGUCUUCAACUGUUUCAUUACAAACUGCUAUAUAUACGAAAAUAGUACCGUAUGGAUAAUCCUUCCACUAAGCAAGUUCCCAGGAAAGAUUGGAGGGGUCACAACGGUCCCGCUUAAAACCCAAUCUCCUAGACAGAACUUCUUAGGCCAUAUCUAUCCAUCGUACUGUCUCUCCGUAUAUACAACCAUUUGCUAGCUUUGUUGCGGCUUUGCUUUACAAGUGAUCUGGAAUAUACAGGUUUAAUACAUGAUUUCUCAACAUCUAGCGAGACUACCAGUGCUUAGAUUCGUCAAGAUUGGUCUUCGUCAAUUUCCACUCUCCACCUCAAAUCGUCCACAUGACCGGGUGUCCAGAGUGUCCCAAUUUUUCCUUCCAUCAAGGCAUUAUAUUUCCCCAUUAAAUAGUUCAGCACAUGUAAUUGGGUAAACAUGUGCACCUUUUUCUUCUUCAUCUCCAUCGACCACCAUGAUGACCUUCAGAUGCCUCCUGAUCGGGCAAUCUCUCUUUAAUAAUUCACCACCGCCAUUUUUGGUCUCGAAUCUCAACGAUCGGACCGUACCAUUGCAUCCGGAAUGAUCAAAUUAGCUGGAAACAUGUCUUGAAUCGUCCAAAUCGCACUUCAGACGGCUAAGAUUUGAUCAAAACAAUUCUGGCCUUAUCAACGGCUCAGAUUCAAUCUCAGAUCCGGUUUCACGUAGACUCUGCUGCACAGAAUCCUAUCCCUCGGCUCGCGGCUCGGCUCGGCUCCAACUUGGCCCGGCUCAACUUUGGCUCGGCUCGGCUUGGCUCGCGGCUGAUGACAUGGCCAGUGGGUCCCACUAUGCUGACAUGGCUGUUGACUAGUCAAUGGCCUGCUGACUGUGUAUGAUGAUGUCAUCCUUGCAUCAUGCGCAUGUCAUCCUUUGCAUGGCACUAUUCAUGGUGCGUCACUGUUCAUACCUACUGUUUACAUGGGUCGGGUCGACUGGUAUUCGGGUCGGGUCAUCCGGGUGAAGAAGACGCGUGGCACGCGUGGGGCGCGUGGGCAGACACCUUGCCGGAGAGUGAUGGAGAGUGCGGCCAUAUCCGACGUCCGAUUUUGACGCGGUUUUCACCAGUGGCUUCGUCUCUUCCUCCUCUACACAGUGGGAUGGUCAAAACACAAUUUGGACAACUUUCAUUUUUGAGCAAAAAAUCAAACACCACUUAAACCAUAUGCUCUGAUACCAAUUGUUGGGCGGAAUCCGGGGACUGGUGAUGUACUGAUAAUUACUCAACGGAAGGAUAAGCACACUGAGACACAAUAUUUUACGUGGUUCGGCAAAACCGCCUACAUCCACGGGAGAGAGUCAUUUUAUUAUAGAUAGAGAAGGGAUACAAUAAAUACAUGGAGGAGGAGGCAUAUCCACUCAACUCAACUCACUAUUCACGCAGCUGCAAUGGCUGCAGGGCUGCUGCCCAUGGCAGCAGCUCUUUCUCUCCUCUUUCUCUUCACUUCAUUCUCAUGUUCUCUCACACUUUGCUCUCUAAGAUCAUGCCUCUUUUAUAGGCAUCAAUGGUGGCUUCUCUUGCUCCUUUGUCAUUAAUGGUGGCUGCCAAACUCCUCUUUUCUUCAACAAAGGCUGCUGCCAACUUCUUCUCUUCUUCAACAAUGGUGGCUACCAAAGUCAAUGGUUGUAGCCACCAUUAGUUGAACAUGUAAUGGCAACAUACCUAACAGGUUCCAUAUAUUUUCUCUGGCUUACUUUUCAAUUUUUCAUUUUUUUGGGCAUUAGCACAAUAUUGCACUGUCCCCAGAUGUUCAUGUACAAAUUCUGUGCAUCCAUUACCCGUGGAUUCUACUAUAGUGCACUGAUCAUAAGAUUCAUUCAUGUUCAUAUUGUAAAAUAUUCCGACUAUAAUGUGGUUGAAGGUAGUUGGACAGAUUCAUUGGUCUUUUGCAAUUUCAGGAUUGACACAGAAAACGUUUGGUUCAUCUUAACUUGACCAUGGAUACACAUUAAUUAGUUCAAGUCACAUUAUUAAUUGUGUGCUAUUUUCUAUUUUCUUUCGCAUUUACUGUUGCGUAUACCAUUAGAACUCGUUUUUUAACCUAAAUUCUCGACAGAUGAAAGCUACUGGCAAAUUAUACUCUACCUUCUGACAGGUGCGAAUUCUUUUUCUCUAUCUCACCAUGUUUGUGUAUUCUUACGUGUUUCUUUAAACUGUUAGAAAUAUUUGAAGAAGAAGAGUAAAAAUAGGAAUAUGAGAAAUAUGGUCUCAUAGUAAACUCUGCUAAGUCCUACUAGACUUGGACUUAGACUUACAAUAUUUUUAAUAUAUAUUUAUAUUAGUUUAGGAUAAUUCAAGAGAUUUUAAAGAUAAAUACAUAUUUAAGUAGUCACAUGUAUAUAGUUAGGAGACAUCUAGGAGAACUAAAAGACACUUUAAAUGUAGACUUCAAAAUUAAUUCUAACAUAAACGACAUAUUUGUGAAACAAGGAUUGUUGUUUCUUGAAUAGUAAUUGUAAUUUUGUUCACCAUUUUCUGCAGAUCCCUACCUCUAUUUAUCUAUAUCCAUUUUAUUUGGUAAGAGAUUCCUUCAUUUCUUUAGUUUCGCAACAAAUUUCUAGUGGAGACAACAAAUAAGAUCACAAAACUUGAUUGUUUUCUGGAAAUUUCCUACACAGCACUACUUCAUGGGCUAAAAGUUGUUUGUGGGACUCCAUGUGUGAUUAUAUUUUUGAUCUACAAAUGGCGAAGGAGACAUUUAUCAGUAUACGAUACAGUUGAACAAUUCCUACAGAGUCAGAAUAACCUGAAGCCAGUAAGGUAUUCCUACUCAGAUAUCAGGAAGAUUACUAGAGGUUUCAAGAACAAAUUGGGUGGAGGCUUUGGUACAGUUUACAAAGGAAAGCUUCGCAGUGGGCGUUUUGCAGCAGUAAAAUUGUUGGGAAAAUCAAAAGCUAAUGGACAGGAUUUCAUAAAUGAAGUUGCUACUAUAGGAAGGAUUCACCAUACUAACGUGGUGCAGCUAAUUGGUUUUUGCGCUGAAGGAUCAAAGCGAGCUCUUGUAUAUGAUUUCAUGCCUAAUGGAUCUCUUGACAGACACUUGUUUUCUCGAGAAGGAUCAAUCUCUUUAAGCUGGAAAAACUGCAUCAGAUUUCCCUUGGAGUGGCUCGUGGUAUCGACUAUCUUCAUUUAGGCUGUGACAUGCAAAUACUUCAUUUUGAUAUCAAACCUCACAAUAUUCUUCUCAACGAAAAUUUCACUCCAAAAGUUUCUGACUUCGGGCUUGCUAGGUUGUACCCAACGAAUGGCAGCAUCACAUCUCUUACUGCAGCAAGGGGCACCAUAGGAUACAUGGCUCCUGAAUUGUUCUACAAAAACAUUGGACGUGUCUCCUAUAAAGCUGAUGUUUAUAGCUUCGGAAUGCUGCUAUUGGAAAUGGCAGGCAAAAGGAAGAAUGUAAACGCAUUGGCAGAAAAUUCAAGUCAAAUCUACUGGCCAUAUUGGGUUCAUGACCAAGUAUCUGAUGGAAAGGCCAUAGAAAUCGGAGACGAUGCCACGGAGGAAGAACGUAAGAUCAUCAAGAAGAUGAUUAUGGUUGGAUUGUGGUGUAUACAAAUGAAACCCAUGGAUCGGCCUACAAUGAAGAAUGUUGUGGAGAUGCUUGAAGGAGAUUUGGAAAACUUGCAAUUGCCUCCUAAGCCUGUCUUCAAUCUAGAUGUGACGCCACCAAACAUUGAAGGAGAGUCAUCAUCGUUGACAGGUUAUUCUACCGAAUCAACCAGUUUGGUUGAAAUGAAUACUAAGUGAUAUGAUGUGGAAUGCUCUGCUUACAUGCAGGGAAAAUGAUAGAAUAAUGGUGCUUUCGGACUUGGUUGCGAUGAUUUAGUCUGCAAACAUUAUGAUAAUUUGCAAUAUUUCCUUUUAUCUGAUUUGUGUUUAGCUAAUUUAGAGUUCAAGCUGCGGCUUUUUUCUUCUGUGUGGUCUAUAUAAUCAUCAUACAAAGAUGUUCUGUACUGUGUUUAACUAUCAGAUUUGCACUCUGUUUGGCAAUCAUAGCAGUUGGCGAGGAUGGAACAUCCUCCAUGAUAACUGUUAAUUACAUGUUCUACAUAUUAAUUAUCGGAUUUGUCUCCAGCAAGAGUAAUAUUUUGGCUACAAAUUAACAAGAGACUGUCAUAGGGAUUAUAUAAACAAGUUGAUGCAUGAAAAGACGAGUCUCUGUUUAUAGGUAGCCACUACAAGUAGCUUCGGAGACCACAAAUACAAGGCAAGUCUCUCUAGUAAUCCUUCCACUACAAGUAGCUUCGGAGAUAGAAAAUAGCGAUUUAUUUGCUAUCAUAGGGAUGAUUCUGAACAAAGCGGCUUAAUUUCAUUUUCUUCCACCAACAAUGCCUUCGUGUCAAUGUUCAGCCCCAUGAUAAUCGAUCUAGGUCACCAUUUGCACAUUACCAUAUCUUGCAUAAGCCACGAGGAACCAAUCACAACAAAACAGGAUUGAAAACCAUGACCAUAACGGGUGCUGUGAAAUGAAUAUUGAAACAGAUGGGUGAAUUUGAUGCAGAAAUCUUCUCUUUCUCCAAAAAAGGAAAAAACGAAAAGUAGAGAGGAGACAAUGAAGCCUGCUUACCGGUCAUGGCAUUUCACCAGGGAGGCAAGGUCUUCAAAAAUGCUCAACUGUGUUCAACAACCUUUCAGGAUCUGCUUCAAUUUUCCUAAGAGAAUGGGGAACAGUGAACGGGAUCCUCGUUAGCUGCGGGCAAUCACCCACAGUAAUUUCCUCAAGAGAAUUGCAUAGAAGUCUUCCAGAAUAAAUGCUAUUGAAAUUUGGUAAUUUCUUCAAUACCAAAACCCUCAAUGUCUACUAUCCUCUGAUGGGUUCUCCCCUCUUCAUCAGUUCCCACAAUCUCCGAUCACUUGCAAUUGCAGUCUAGACAUUCUUCGACUCCGAUCACUUGCAAUUGCAGUCUAGACAACAACCAAGGAGGGAGUAGCACCUUCAUCCUAUGACAUUUGUGUAUCAUGAUCUCUCUAAGUUUGCAAAAGACACCACAGUAACCUUGCAAGCAAUUAGUGAAAUGUUAACCUAAUUUUUAACUCUUUUACUUUUACUUUUACUUUUAUUUUUAUUUUCAUUAUAUUUUCUAAAAAAUAAAAAUAAUGAUGAAAAAAACUGAAAAAGAAUUGUAAAAAAUAAAAAUAAUAAUAAUAAAAAAUAAAACCAAUGAAGAAUGAAUUUAAAUUUGGAUUAAGGAAACAUAAUUGGAAGUUUGGAGAUUUAAUUAAACUUUGGAUUAGUUUAAUUAACCAAAUCAAAGGUUUAAUUGAAGAAUUGAUAAGUUUGGGUACUUAAUUGAACUUGAGAUUAGUUUAAUUAAUGAAAUCAAGGGCUUAAUUGAAACAAUGCCAAAGUUGAGGGCUGCAUUGGGCUACAAUUGCAAGACAAUAAAAUCAGAGGACCAUGUUGUGAAUUCUCUGCAAUUAAGGAGUCAAGUUACAAUUUACCCAGGAGCUUGAUUACAAAACUGCUGGACUUCAGUGACCACACUGAAGAUGGCCAUUUGCAUCCCAAAAACGGUGCCGUUUCAGGAUGCACUAUUCAUCUUCUUCAUCUUACCAUUAAGGAAAAAAACGGACGCCAGCUGCCCGCGAUCGCCAUUACUCCAGCAUUAGCAACGGUUGGUCCCCUCGUUAUUUGGAGGCGACCGCAUGGCAUUCUCUGGCUUUAUAUAAAAGCCAGAGAAAGGUCACGGGGGGAGGGGGAACAGAGGGAAAUACCAGAAGAAAAAAAAAGCAUACAAAGGGGGGACGAACAGAAAAACAGGGGAGGACGCAUGAGAGAGAGAGACCGAGAGAGGGGGGAAGACGAAAAAAACAGAAGAGAACACAGACCGGAAUACCAGAGGUGAAGGAAAAAAAAAGGAGGAGAAAGGAACCGACAAAGGAGGGGGAGGGGAAGAAAAAAAAACCAGGAAAAACAAGGAGGAUGAACUGAGGACGAACAGAGGAGACACACCAGAGAAAGACAAAGAAAAAGGAAGACUAAAACAGAGAGGAGGAGAGAGCAAAAAGACAGUGUUCCCAGCUUUUCCUUCGUCCCCAGAAUGCAAGCAAAGUGAACAAACGAAAACAGAGAAACUACGAGCAUUGAUCAGCCUGGGCAUUCGUCUCCAGCACCACUCCGAACCAUCAGAAACAAAGGAAGAAACCCAGAAAAAAAUAACAGCAGAUAAAGAAGAACGACCCAAAAUCAGUCAAAAAAAAAACCCACAGAAAGCCGGCAUCAUCAUCAUCUUCUUAGUUCCUUCAUCUCAAGAACCGAGAAACGAACGACCACAAAAAACACCAGAGAAGACAGUGGGCACAGAAGGAAGACAAAGGAAAGCAGAAGGAAAGGACAUAAGCAAACGAGAGUCAUCACCAGCAUUGCAACCAUCUUCGUCGUCUCCAGAAGCAGGUACGCCCAUUCUCUUUUCAUUCUUUGUAUUCUUGGAAGUGUUAUUUGAACACUGUGCGAAGGUAAUGAACUUCACGUGCCUCUUGUUUUGGGCCACACACAUUUUUAUAUUAUAAAAUUCCAAAAAUCCUUGUGCAUGUUUUAAAUUUAUUUGUAGAUCCCUAUAUUUUUCACUAUAUAAUUAAUUUAUGUAUUUUUACUGUAAAAUGUAAAUCCAGUAUAAAAUAUUUUUUUAAAAUAAAAAAAUAUACAUACAUUGAUUUAAAUUUAUUUUUAUCAUUGACAUCAGAGUAAGGAAUAUCAUACGUUUUGUUUUUUGGCUAUAUAAUAUUUACCAACGUCAAAAUUAGAAAUAUUCAUAAUUGAAUAUUCACAUACGCUACAAUCAAAAAUAUUAUAAACAAAUUAUCAUAGCAUAAACCAACAAACUUUUAGCAAUUUAAGACACAAAACCAGUAAUGUAGUUUGUCACGGAUGGAAUGUUUAAGGAUGAUAAUAUCUUUUUCACAUAACCAAUGUCGUACAAUAUAAUCUUUAUUGAUUAGUUAGGAUUUCUAAUAACCAUAAUACUAGAAGUAUGUAACUUCUUAAACAAGACUUUUUUCAUUCCAAGAACAAAAAAUAUGUUCUUUUCAAUUCAAUUUUUUUUUAAGAGUUUGUUCUUUUCAAUUUAAUUUUUUUAAUGCUGCCACGAUGUGAGAUGAGACACGUUAAAAUUGGAAAAUUUCAAACUCUAUUAGAUAAUGGAAGUUACAUUUCAAUGUUUCCAACUUCUCCAAUGCCGUAAGCUUUGCUAAUGAUGGUACAUAACUCAGCUUUGCACACCAUCCCAGCAACAAUACAGUUAGACUUACCAGAUGAGAAAUAGAAUCUGGCAAGCGCUCUAUGUUUGCCUCCGACAGAUCAAGAACCUCGAGUCUUUUGAAUUGCUGGAAAAAAGGCUACUGUGGAGAAACUCAACCAAUUUCAAUUCGUAGUUUCUGCAUAACAAUAAUGUUGACCUAUCCUUGAUUCUAUUUUCCAUGAGAGAAACUCUUGAUAGAUCCUCUCUCCACCAUCUUACAUCAGGUAACUCUGUUAAUUGGGCACCUACUUUAACCAUAGCCCUUGAACUUUCUUUCAUUAUUUUCACAGCCAUAUCCCUAAUCAAACCAUGCAUCUUGACAUAUCUGUACUUUUCAUCAUCCUUGGAACCUUGUAAUAAGCUAGCAUUUUCAAGUUGAUUAAGCAUGGGUUGCCCCUAUCAAAUUGUGCUUGCCUGCUCAAUCAGAUUGUGCUAGCAUUUUCAAGUUGAUUAAACUUUCCAUUUCUUCAACUAUACCAUCAUCAAUCAAAUACUCAAUCAGGUCUUCAUGUCUUUUGGAAACAAUGCACAGUAUAAGCACUCUUUCAUUGCUUUAUUUUUUAACCAAACAUAACUAUAUUUCAAUAUCCGAAACACAUCGGUUUCCAUGUCACAUGUUCCAAUUUCUGAACUUGCCAGUUCCCGCACUUCUCCACUGAGAUACAUCAUCCACUCCCUUCAUGCUUCCAGCCCUUGUCAUGAUUCUGAGAGCCAAACCAGAUUAGUACUUCUUCACAAUAGACUCUGCAAUCUGUUUCGUUGUAGGAGAAAGUGCAAUACCAUUCCCUAAUUUGUCUAUGAACAAAUUCCAAGCUUCACCCUCAGAAAUAGGCUCCACUUUGAUUAUCCUUUCACAAUCCAUUCUAUUACAUAUGCCCAAUGAUCUAGUUGUGAGAAUCAAUUUACGCCCAUUUGUUCUACGAGAUAUUCCCACUUUCUCAGGAUGAAAAUCAUCCCACAAAUCAUCAAGAAUGAUAACAUGGUUUUGUAUCACACUCAUUGUUGUCCAUAGCUUCCCAGCUCUACUCGUCACAUCUUUUUCCUUUCGGAAGACAUAAACCAAAAGCUUCGGCAAUGAGAUCCUGCAAUGCAUGAAUGCUAAAUUCUUGUGACAUAGUAAUCCUGUUGGGAUAUUGCCGCUUAUGUUGCAACAUCUGCAGCCCAUCUUCUAGAAGAAGAUGGAUGUCAUUAUUAAAGAAAAAAGGCUAGUUUGUGAGAGUCAAAAAGAGUUGCUGGUACAACAAUCAAAAGUCAUAAAGUAAGUAAAUGUUAGGUAGUCAUCAUUGUUGACAAAUGAGUAAGAGAAGCUACCAUUAAAGCCUAUAAAUAAAGGCAUCACUUGAAGAGCAAAAGGUGAGAGUUGAGAGAGUGUGAAGAGAAGAGAGGAAAAGAAAAAGAGGAGUGGCUACCAAGGACAGCAGUCCUGCUACCAUGUGCAGCAGUGUCGGAGAGCAAUGGAAGUUUAGUAAGAGUUUGAGUGAAGUGAACCUCCUCCUCCAUGUUUUUUGUAACCAUUUCUCUAUCUCUAAUAAUAUUGGUUCUUUUCCUGUGGAUGUAGGCAGUUUGCCGAACCACGUUAAAUAUUAUGUCAGUAUACUUAGCCUCUAAUGGACAACUAUCAGUAUAUCACUGGUCGGAAUCCCCAACAAAUCCAACAAACAUGAAAAAAAAUGCUUGGUUUCUCUUGAAGCUGAUUAUAGAUAUGUGCAUCUAAAGUUGUCUUUCUCACUCCCCCAUCCCGUACAUGCCAAUGCAUGAGACCUCACCUCACCAUUCAACAACCAAUACCAGACAUCCUUCAUAUUUCUUUCAAUAGCUUGACCCACUAGCUUCGUUGUCGGGAAUACAUAUCUUUUAGUCCUACGUCGCUUAUGUACAGGCCUUUUAGAAUAGCUUACCGUGUAAUUUCUCAAGUCAUGUUCUCUAUAUAAAUUCUUAACAAAACAUCCCUCGUUGAUGAGGAUGAGACGUUAUUCAAGAUCAUUUCAAAUGCCUGGCAUGUUUUCUUUGUUCUCUGUCUAGUCUCGGGUUCAUCUGGCAUAAGUACAACAUGAGCUCUAGGUUCCUCAACAAUCCCAAUCUCCCCCCUGAUCCAGAUAUCCAUCCAUCCUAGGCUCUCAUAAAAAAGAGGAGGUUCUUCUUGUUCCAUUUCUAAACACCGCCCAGGAGUUGAAGCUGCAUUAAUUGCCUCGUUAUUGCUUGAACUUGGCACGCUCUUAUCUACAGGCCUGUUAGAAGUGUUAGAAAUAACACUCUUAUGAAGCUCACAUGAUUGAUGGAAAUUGCAUAAUCUUAUUUGAUAAACGAGUGCUGCUUAAAUACAGCUUCUUACAAACAGAAAUGAGAAAAACUAGCUACUGCAGAUGUUAUUUUACGUGGAUCAAAUCACUAAUAUUAUGGCUUGAGAAGAGGUCCUAUUUGACUGCCAUAAUCCUAGAAAAAUAGCCACAAUCCCAGAAUGAUAGGAAUAGGAUUUUAUUUCUGCAGACUUCUUCAAACUGAACCUUCCUAAUAUAUCCUCCCCUAAACUGAGCAUGUUGUGCAUUUGCUCAGUUUAGAUCCUUCUUCUCUUGUACUCCCAAGAGCAUUCGAAGUUUUACAAAAUCUUCAAGUUUAAGCGGCUUUGUCAGAAUGUCUGCUAGCUGCUCCUUAGUGCCACAGUAGAUGAGCUCUACUUCUCCCUUUUUGAUAAGAUCUCGAAUAAAAUGAAAUCUUACAUUGAUGUGCUUUGUUCUCCCAUGAAAUACUGGAUUCUUGGACAAUUUAAUGGAUGAACUAUUAUCCCAGAACACAGUAACACAUUUACACUGAUCUUCUUCAAUGCUAUUUAGAACUUCCUUCAUCCAUAUACUUUGGCAUGCACAAGUGGUGGCUGCUACAUACUCUGCUUCAGUAGUUGAUAGAGUAACUAUUGGUUGCUUUUUGGAGCUCCACGCCACUGCACCAUCUCCCAACAUGAACACAUACCCAAAAGUGUUUUUCCCCCCAUCCAAGUCACCCGCAAAGUCACUAUCAGUGUAUCCUUUAAGGGUGUUGUCCGAGCUUUUUUUGUAGAAAAUACCAAACUUCAUUGUCCCCUUUAGGUACCUGAGUAUUCUUUUUGCAGCUAGUAGAUGUCCUUCCUUCGGUGCAGCCAUGAACCUGCUUAGAAAACUCACUACAUACAUUAUAUCAGGUCGCGUUGUUGUGAUAUACAUGAGGCUGCCAAUUAAUUGCUUGUAUUCGGUGCUGUCAAUUUCUUCUCCUUUCUCUUGUGAUGAUAGUUUAGUUCCUGGAACCAUAGGGUUAUUGACUGCAUUGCAGCUGCUCAUUCCAAACCUUGCAAGUAUUUCAUUUGCAUAUUUUCCUUGACAUAAGAAAAUUCCAGCCUCUGUUUGAUGUACCUCUAUACCAAAAAAAUACUUCAUCCUCCCUAGAUCAGUCAUAUCAAAUUCUGACUGCAUGGAGGCUUUAAAUUUUUCACAUAACAUCACAUUAUUACCAGUAAAGAUUAAGUCAUCCACAUACAAAAUUACCACCAAAAAACUUCCUCCUUCCUUCUUUAUGAACAAGGUGUGUUCAUAGCUGCAUUUGUUGAAACCUUCAACAGCAAAGUAAUCCUCUAACUGACUGUACCAAGCUCUAGGGGCUUGUUUCAAUCCAUUUAAUGCCUUCUUUAGUAGAUAUGCUUUGUACUCUUCUCCCUUUCGAAUGUAUCAUUCGGGUUGUUCAAUAUAAACAACCUCAUUCAGUUCUCCGUGAAGAAAAGCGCUAUUUACGUCAAGCUGAAAGACUUCCCAACCUCGCAGUGCAGCUAGAGAGAGUAGCAUUCUGAUGGUGUCCCAUCUAGCGACUGGCGAGAACACUUCGUUGUAAUCUAUUCCUUAUCUUUGAUCAUAACCCUUCACAACCAGUCUUGCCUUGUGCUUAUCGACCUCUCCUUUUUCAUUCAAUUUGGUUUUGAAAACCCACUUCACUCCAAUCUUUUUCAUUCCUUUAGGUAGGUCCACUAACUCCCAUGUAUUGUUUUUCUCGAUAGCUUGUAUCUCAGUGUCCAUGGCAUUUUUCCAUUUAAUGUCUUUUACGGCAUCACCGUAACUUACUGGAUCAUCUUCAGUAGCAUAGAGCACUAAGUAUUGCUCUUCCUCUUCUUCCUCUGCAAGAUUUUCACCAGUUACAUAAUCUUGCAGGUGUCUUGGAGGUAUGCUGAUCCUUUUUGUCUGCUCCCUUCGAGUAUCCUGAGAUUGAGCAAGGGUUGUACUUCUUGCCUUCUCUGUUUGUGCUGCAGCCUGCUCAUUUGGUAUGCCAUCUUCUUCUCUGCUUGUUCCAUUGAAUGAUUCUGUGUCAUCCCAAGUUAAUUCCUCUUGUUCAUCAUCUGUCCUCCCCCAAUUCCAUGUCUCCUUUUCAGCAAAGAUCACGUCUCUGCUGGUGAUGAUUUGCUUGCUCUCGGGAUCGUAAAGUCUAUAGGCUUUAGACUCUUCACUGACUCCCAGGAAUACACAUUUAUGGCUUUUAUCUUGUAGCUUGAUCCUCUUCACAUCCGGUAUAUAUGCAUAGGCAACACAUCCAAAAACUCUAAAAUGUGCCACAUUAGGCUUGUUUCCAGUCCAGCACUCUUUUGGAGUUUUAUUUGUAAUUGAUGCAGUAAGACUUCAGUUGAUGAUGUGUACAGACCACUUUGCUGCUUCUGCCCAUAAAUUCCUUGGCAUUUUUCCUUCAACAAGUAAACAUCAAACCAUGUUCAUGAGAGUUCAGUUUUUACGUUCAGCAACUCCAUUUUGCUGAGGAGUGUAUGAUGUGUUGAACUGUCUCUUGAUUCCCUGGGUGCUGCAAAAUUCUUGAAAAACUUGGGAAGUGUAUUCUCCUCCUCGAUCGCUUCUAAGACACCGAAUGCUCAUCCUGUCUCUUUCUUAACUUUGGUUUUAAAGUGUUUGAACUUCUCAAAAGUUUCUCCUUUUUCUGCCAGUAAAUAAAGCCAUGUUUUUCUACUAAAGUCAUCUAUGAAUGUCAGAAUAUACCUCUUGUUGCUCAUGGUAGUUGGAGUGAUUGGUCCACAGAGAUCUGAGUGGAUAAGCUAACUUUUCUGAUGCUCUCCAGUUAGCUUUCUUUGGCAUCUCUUCUCUGUGUUGCUUCCUUUUGUUGCAUACUUCACACACUUUGCUUACUUCUAUGAUUUUAGGCAUCCCUUCCACCAUUUGCUUGAAGUGCAAGCUUCAGAGUCCUUUCUGAUGUAGGUGACCAAAAUCAUCUAUGCAAAGCCCUGUGAGAUCCUCUUGUGUUACUUGCAGACAUGCAUCAUUGUGUUGUUCAGUAAGCAUGACAAACAUUCGGUUUGUAGUCAUAUAUGUGUGUACAAUCAGUCCCUUUGUGGGAUGAAGGAUAUUGCAGGCUCCUCUUUGCAUUAUCACUGUCAGAUCUUUCUCCUACAGCUGCCCAACACUUAACAAAUUGUUUGUUAAGUCUGGCACAUAAUAUACAUCACUUAUGAUUUGUGUUCUUCCUUGAACUCUCAGUUUAAUGUUCCCAAGACCCAUAACCUGCAUCCGAGCAUUGUUUCCCAGCUUCACAGUGUGUGAGAACUCCUCAUUCAAUGUAACAACCACCUUUUGUUACCUGUCAUAUGGUUGGAACAUCCUGAAUUGAUGAACCAAACAUCUUCUCUGUUUGAUCCCCUCAUUUCAACGUGAGCCAUGAGUAAAAGUUCUUCUUCAUCAUCCAGCUCAACAUAAUGUGCGUUUGUUUCCCAGGUAGGGCAUUCAUACUGAAAAUGCCCUGGCCUGUGACAUUUGAAGCAUUUCAUUGUGCCUCUGCCAAACACCUGCCUUCCUCUCCCUCUGUUUGGUCCUCUAAAGCUGAUACCUCCUCUUCCUCUAUUAGUGUUUAUUCUGCCUUCUCCAAUUGAAGUAUGCAACACCUGCUCCUCGUUUUUAUCUUUUUCCAGCCUUUUGAAUUUGGCUUCGUGAACUACAAGAGAACUUUGUAAUUCAUCAACUGUCAUGGAGCUCACAUCCUUGGAUUCUUCUAUCGAGACCACCACAUAAGUAAACCUCUUUAUCAAGGUUCGGAGCAUUUUUUUCGACCACCUUUGUGUCUGGCAUAAUCUCCCCGUUACUCCUCAUUUGGUUAGCAACUGAUGUAACUCUAGCAAAGUACUCUGUAAUUGACUCACUUUGCUUCAUUUGCAGAAUCUCAAAGUCUCUUCUCAGUGUGUUGAGAAGAUAUUUCUUCACCUUUGAAUUCCCUCCAAACUUGCUCUUCAAUGAAUCCCACACAAUCUUUGAUGUGCGCCUGUCUAAGAUCUACUCAAAUGUAACUCUAUCUAUUGCUUGAUAUAGAUAGUGUUUCACUUGAUGAUCUUUCAUCUUGGCAUCAUCAUGUUUUGUCUGCUGCGUAUUAGUAAGCGCAGUUCCAAUGAUUGGCUCCUGAACAUCAAUCUCCACAAGACUCCACAACCCUUUUGCUCUCAGCAAGUUUUCCAUCAAUUCACUCCAAUGAUCAUAAUGUUGACCAUCAAAAUGAGGAAUCUUCGUUAAACUAUUAUCCUCACUCAUUUUCUUUCUUCUUGUUAUCGAGCUGCACUUUUGUUGUGUUUGAAUCUAAAGAGGCUCUGAUACCACUGUUAGAAAUAACACUCUUAUGAAGCUCACAAGAUUGAUGGAAAUUGCAUAAUCUUAUUUGAUAAACGAGUGCUGCUUAAAUACAGCUUCUUACAAACAGAAAUGAGAAAAACUAGCUACUGUAGAUGUUAUUUUACGUGGAUCAAAUCACUAAUAUUAUGGCUUGAGAAGAGGUCCUCUUUGACUGCCAUAAUCCCAGAAAAAUAGCCACAAUCCUAGAAUGAUAGGAAUAGGAUUUUAUUUCUGCAGACUUCUUCAAACUGAACCUUCCUAAUAAGAAGAGCUUCCUCUCUCAGCAACAGACUGCAUCAAUUCCCAAGUCAUGUUCUCUAUACCACUACUUGAAUCAACAUCCCUCAUCAAUGAAGAUGGGAUGUUUUUCAUAUCCAUUUCAAAUGCUUGACCUGCUGGCUCUGUUUCCAAUCCAAUCUCAGGUGCAUCAGGCAUAAGCAUCCUAGGAACCAUGGUCUCCUCAGUAAGCACAAUCUCUCCCCCAAUCAUCCUAUCCAUCCACGCCAAUCCAUCAUCCAAAAGAGGUUGUCCUUUUUUACUGUGGACAGCACGCUAACAUUGCAAACGAUGAGAAAGAGCGUGAUCCACAGAUGGAGAGAAAGAAAUAGGCCAAGAAAAGAGAAAGCAGUAGAGUAGACAUCCUUAAGAGCAGUAUGUUCACAAAUGGAGAGCAGUAUAUAUGUAUAGUUUUCAUUAUCGGUUCUUUUAAUUAUACUCAAAUCCGACUCAAACAAUAAUUGUUUAUAAAACAUUUAAUUCAUUCGGAUUGGUUUUGUAGAGUAGUUAUCAGUUAAGGUGAAACUGUAAUCUGUACCUCCAGAUGUUAGAAAGAUAUGCCAGGCUUUUAGAAAUAAAAGGUUAUGAGCAUUCAUGUAUGGAUUUGAUCUUCUAGUUAGAUGGUCUAACAUAUUUUUUUAUGUUUAAGUAGGACAAGCCUAAACUUAAACCAAGGUUUGAUUAUUUCAGGCUAUGUUAAUAUCUUAAAAAUGAGUUAUCUAGAGAACCAGUCGUUGAAUCAAACUUAAAAUUUUUUCAAGUGAUUAAAAAGAUAAUUUUCCUACAAGAAGCGAUUGUCUUUACACCGAUUGAUCUUCCAAAAUUAGGUUUCAAUCCUGGAUGCUCUUGUGUGGGAAAAUUUUGUUAUUUUUCCUAGGGUGUUUCAGAUUUCUUGCAUUAUUGUAGGUUUUGUUUUAUUUUUCUUAAAAUUUUUGGACUUUGAGUUGUCUCUUAGUAUAGCUAGAUUAAAAAAGCAAUUCUCCUAGGCACUUAGACUUGAUAGUGUGUCAAGUCUAGGAUAGCAUAUGUUUGACACACAUGUUAAACCCAAAAUGUUUGAACUUAACAGUCAGUCAAACUCAAGAUAACAUGAAUGGUAGCAUGGGCCUGACAUGCUUGCAAGACCCAAGGUAGCGUGGGUCUGGCAUGCAUGUUUAGACCUAGCAGUUAGACACAUUCAAGAUAAUGACAAUCCUCCCUUGACAUGUCUAAAGGAAUGACCAACCUCCCUUGGAUCUAACCCCAGAAAAGAACAUGGUCUCUAUAGGCUUAGCUAAAUUUAACGUCUUAAACUCUAAUCUUCCUAUACCUUUUUAGAUGUAUAAAAAUUUUUCAAAGAUACACCACAUUCCUAUCAGAUAAGAUAUAUUUAUCUCUCAUUAAAUAUUAUCAAGAUAAUUACACGACGGGCUCUUUUUUAAUAAAAGAAUAAGAUUUGUAGGUUAUAAAUACAUAUUGAAAGCUUCAUAACAAAGGUUUACAAUUUUCAAUUUUCUACUACAUUUAUAUUUUCAGAGUAUCUUUUUAGAAUAUUCUUGUAUUUUAUUUCUCUCAAAAAAUACUAACUUUAUAAGAUGAUAUUUAAAUCUCCCAAUUAAAAUUAUUUUGUUGCAGGUAUCCAAGAUCUUCUUGGUGAAUUUAAAAUAUUUUAGAAUAUAAAAAAAAUCCAAAUAUUUUAACAUAUUAAUAAACCACUAUCCCUAACAUCAAAUAUCUUUUUAUUUUAUGUUCUUGAAUUUUUAAACUUCAUCAUCUUCAUAUUUCUUUCAAACGCUUGGCCCACUAGCUUUGCUGCUGCCAAUACGUAUCUUCUAGUCCAAGAACACUUGUGUACAGGCCUUUCUAGAAGAGCGUCCUCUCUCAACAAAUGACUGGUGUGCUUGCUCUGUUCUUUGUCUAGUCUCGGGUUCAUUUCUUAGUCCAUUUCUUAAUUUGUGUUUGGUAUGCAUGAAAGAUACUUUUUUAAAUAAUUUUAAUUGAAAAUAAAUCAAACAAUAUUUUUUAAUUUUAUUUUUAAUAUUAGUAAAUCAAAAUAAUUGAUAAAUAAUUAAAUAAUAUCACUGAGAUGCUUUUUUAGAACUAGAAAAAUCUUCUAAAUGAAUAAUAGAAAAGAAAAGAAAAGAGAAGAAAGCUAAGCUUUACAACUGGAAAAAACAUUAUCAGCACUGGAUAAAUAUGAAAUGUUUAAGUUAAGCUGAAAUUCUGAAAUGUUUAUUUCUAUCACCCUCCCGAGCACUCCUUACAUAAAUAGCAUGACGUCAUACCUUUACUAUGAGGUAAAGGUUCCAAUACCAAAAUACAAAACAAUCCCUAGAAAUCAUAAAAUCCUAAUUUCAUCCCCGGAAUAAUAGCGUAUGGCUAGAAAUCAUGGAACAUUGUCAACUGUGUUCAGCAAACUUUCAGGAUCUACUUCAAUUUUCUUAAGAGAAGGGGAAAUAGCGAUCGGGAUCCUCGUUAGCUGCGGGCAAUCACUCACAGUAAUUUCUUCGAGAGAAUCGCAUAGAAGUCUUCCAGAAUAAAUGCUUUUCAAAUUUGGUAAUUUCUUCAAUACCAAAACCCUCAAUUUAUCAAAUCUACGAAAAGGAGAGGAAUCUUCACCACUUCCCAUUAUCUCCUGCAUGUUGUAACAAUCUUCGACUACAAUCACUUCCAAUCGGCCCAACAAGCAUGAUUUUGAAGGUUCAUUAUGUAUCAACCGAGGAGGGAGCAGCACCUUCAUCCCAUGACAUUUAUGUAUCACCAUCUCUCUGAGAUUGAAAAAGACAGCAGAACAACCUAGCUCUGAAGGGUAGAAUCUCAAGCCCUGUCCCUGUACUUCAAAAAGGGUUUCUACAACUUCAGAUUUCUGAUGAAGCUUGAGGAACUGUAAUUUUGAGAGUUUGGGUAAAAUACCCGACCGUAAAACACGCACCCCGCUUCCAUCAAGAUUAAGAUACCUGAGAUCCUUCAGCCUUUCCAUUCCCUCGGGCAAAUCUUCAAGUCCAGUGUAACUGAGAUCCAACUUCUCCAAUGCCUUAAGCUUUGCUAAUGAUGGUACAUAACUCAGCUUUGCACACCAUCCCAGCAACAAUGCAGUGAGUCUCGUCAGAUGAGAAAUAGAAUCCGGCAACUUCUCUAUAUCUGUGUCGGAAAGAUCAAGAACCUUGAGUCCGAUGAGAUGCUGGAAAAAAGAAUCCUCCACCAAAUUCAAUUUGUAGUUUCUGCAUAACAAUAAUGUUGAGAGACGGGGGCACAUUGGUGAAAAGCCUGUUGGAAUAUUCUCGAUUCUAUUUUCCAUGAGUGAAACUCUUAACAGAUCCUCUCUCCACAAUCUUACACCGGGUAAUUCUGUUAGCUGUGCACCUGCUUGAACCAUAGCCCCCCCACUUUCGUUCAAUAUUUUCCAAGCCAUAUCCCAAAUCAAAUCAUGCAUCUUGACAUAUCUGUAAUCUUCAUCGUCCCUGGAACCUUCUAAUAAGCUGGCAUCUUCAAGUUGAUCAAGCAUGGUAUGGCCCCUAUCAAAUCGUGCAUGCCUACUCCCCAUUUCUUUGACUAUACCCUCGUCAAUCAAAUACUCUAUCAAGUCCUCUCUCCAGAUGAUCUUGCCUUUUGGAAAUAGUGUGAUAUGUAAGAAGCACUCUUGAAGUGCUGAAUCGUUCAACUGAGCAUAGCUAAAUUUCAAUACUCGAAAUACAUUGGCUUCCAUCUCACCUGGUCCAACUUCUAAUCUUCUCAGUUUUAGCAAUGCAUCUCUCCAACGAUAUUCACCAUCCACUCCCUUCAUGCUUCGAGCCAUUGUCAUGAUUCCAAGAGGCAAACCAGCACACUCCUUCACAAUAGACUCUGCGAUCUCAGGAUAAAGUGUACCACCACGCCCUAAUCUGUAUAUGAACAGAUCCCAAGCCUCACCCUCAGAAAGAGGCUCCACUUUGAUUAUCCUUUGGCAAUCCAUUUUUCGACAUAUCUCCAGUGAUCUCGUUGUGAGAAUCAACUUCCACCCGUCUGUUCUAAGAGGUAUUCCCACUUCAUCAGGAAGAAAAUGACCCCACAAAUUAUCAAGAAUUAAAAAACCUUUUUUUUUCACAUUCAACUCUGUCAACAGCUCCCCAGUUCUCACCAUCGCAUCAUUUUCAUCCAAAGGUUUUAAAUCCAAAACCUCAGCAAUGCGACCCUGCAAUGCAUGAAUGCUAAAAUCUUGUGACAUAGUAAUCCAACGAACAGGAUGAAACAUGCCUAGUUUCUCGUGAAGCUGAUUAUAGAUAUGUGUAGCCAAAGCUGUCUUUCCCACCCCCCCCAUCCCACAAAUGCCAAUGCAUGAGACCUCAUCAUUCAACAACCAACCAGACAUCAUUCAUGUUUCUUUCCAUAGCUUGGCCCACUAGCUUUGUUGUCGGCAAUACAUAUCUUCCAGUCCUACGUUUCUUAUGUACAGGCCUUUUAGAAGAGGGCCGUCUCUCAACAACAGACUGCAUCAAUUCCGGACUCAUGGUCAGUCUACCAGUUCUUAACUCAAAAUCCCUCAUUGAUGAGGAUGAGAUGUUAUUCAAGUUCAUUUCAAAUGACUGAUGUGCUUGCUCUGUUCUUUGUCUAGUCUCGGGUUCAUCUGGCAUAAGAACGACAGGAGCUCUAGGUUCCUCGACAAGCUCAGUCUCCCCCCCAAUCAGAAAACCCUUCCGUCCUCGUUCAUCCGAAAGAGGUUGUUCUUCUUGUUCCAUUUCUAAGCCCCGCAAAGCAGUUGAAGCUGCAUUAAUUCCCUCGUUAUUGCUUGAACUUGGCACACUCUUAUCUACAGGCAUUUUAGAACAGCUUCCUCUCUCAGUAACAGCCUGCAUCAAUUCCCGACUCUCUAUACCACUGCUUAACUCAACUUCCCUCGUCAAUGAAGAUGUGAUGUUAUUCAUAUCCGUUUCAAAUGCUUGAACUGCUGGCUCUAUUCCCAAUCCAGUCUCAGGUGCAUCGGGCAUAUGCAUGCUAGGAACCAUGGUCUCCUCAGGAAGCACAAUCUCUUCCCAAGUCAAGCUAUCCAUCCAUGAAAAAUCAUCCAAAAGAGAUUGUCCUUGUUGUUGCAUUUCUAAAUCUUGCGCAGGAUCUGAAUCUGCAGUAACUAUUAUAUUAUUGCUUGAACUUGGCAUGCUCCCACGCAUUCUGUCAGGAAGCUUAUCAAACGCUGCUCGUUGAACAUCUGGAGUUACUUUUUCACAAAUUUUAACACCACCCCUCCAACUCUUGCCAGAUGAUAUUUCAUCCUUGUAGUGGAAGUGCUUCCAGCCAAUGUCUUCACAAAAAAUGCACUUCAAUAAACCACCAUCCACUUUCUCAAAAUAACGAAAUGGAUCACUUCCUCCAGCCAUUUUUUCUUCUGUGUCCCUACAUACAGACAUAACAAAGAACUUUCAGAAUAUUGAAUUAAAAUGGAACUUAAACUAAUUGAAAAAAAGAAGAAGCUAAGUUUAAGAUAAAAAAAAAAUUGAUUACAGUGUUUCACUGUCUAAACCAAAGUCAAGUUAAACCACUCCAAAGAUCAUAGUGUUCUUUUUUACUUUCCCAAUAAUUCUACAACUGGUCAUAUCAGUAAUUUAAUAACCAGUAUGUUUCUUUUUGCUUAGAAGAAUCAAACUACAUGAGUUGGAAAAGAAAUGGUAUGAAAUUAGAGCUAAAAUUAAUCAAACUUAAUUACCUGAGCAGCAGAUGCAGCAAGAUGUUAUCCAAUUAUUUGAUUAAAUCAGAAGAAAGAAGAUGGACGGGGAAGAGUAAGUGUGUUGGAGACGCGUGAUAGAGCUUCGGCUUGUUUGGUUGUGGAUAAGGAUAGAUUCAGACAGUCAGAGAAGCAGAUGACAGUGAAAAAAAGUAAAAUGGACUUCUGUCGUUCAUGGAUGUCAUAUGGACAUGUUGUUGGUCUUCCAGGAAGCGGAUCCGGCGAGGGGUGCUCUAGUGAAGGCGUGGGGGUAGGCGGUGGCUGAUGAUAGUCUCCUCGUGUGGUGGACAGCACGCCAACUUUGCAAACGAUGAGAAAGAGCACGAUCCACCACAAAACAGCAGAAGAGAAAGCAGGAAGAAAAGGGAGCAGGGUCGACCGAGAGAGAAGUAGAGCUGACCCAGAGAGCGGUAUCUUCACAAAUGGAGAGGUUUGUGUUUUCUGUAGGUGGUAGAAAAAAGAGACAGAGGAUGAGAGACAACAGAGAGGGAGAGUACCUGUUUGUUUGCUGGUUUUUUUUAAAAAGAGUUAAUUUCCAGAAAUAACAAUGAAGUUACUGAUUGAAACAUUGGUCCACCACCCUCAGGUCAAUGAUGAAGAAUUGCAGGGUUCUUGGUUAUUUCUUCUGGUCUAGAAGUCUUUGCCGUGUAACAAUCUAUCACGGUAUGAAAGAUGCACGUAUUAUAGGGUAGAAAUCAAUGGCAAAGGGAAGAGAUGAAAGAAGAAGGACCUUCAAAAUCCUAAAAAAAAUAUUAUUAAUAUAUUUUUUUUCAUUUUAUUUGUUGUCCAUAUUUUAUUUUUUAAUAAUAUUAUUAAAUUAACCGAGUCAGUUGACAAAAAUAUUAAAUCACAUUGCUUUUAAAAUAUUUUAUAUUUCAGUCUUUUGUGGCAUUAACAAUGAAGUUACUGAUUGAAACAUUGGUCCACCACCCUCAGGUCAAUGACGAAGAAUCGUAGGGUUCUUGGUUAUUUCUUCUGGUCGAGAAGUCUGUGCCGGGUAACAAUCUAUCACGGUAUGAAAGUUGCACGUAUUAUUUAGCCUGUGAUUGCUUAUAUAAUGAUAACUGUGAAGAACUGAGUUCUUUAUUUCACUUUAUUCAUCGGUGUUUCGAAUAAAUAUUAUACAGGAACACAAAGGCCUUUUAUAGACCUUUGCAAAGACUCCUAACAGACUAGGAGAUAAGUCUCGUAAGUGAUAGACUUUGUGUACAACAGACUAACGUAGAGUUCUUAACAGAAUAGGAGAUAAAUGUUACGUAGAGUUCUUAACAGACUAGGAGAUAAAUAUAACAAUCUUCUACACUCCCCCUCAAGUUGGUGCAUAGAUGUUUUGCAUGCCCAACUUGUCUAACACUUGGUGAAAGACUUUACUUGACACAGCCUUAGUAAGAAUGUCUGCCAAUUGAUCUUGAGAUCGAACAUGAGGAACUUCAAUUACCUUGGCUUCCAAUUGUUCUUUAAUAAAAUGUCUGUCAAUCUCCACAUGCUUUGUUCGAUCAUGUUGAACAGGAUUGUGAGCGAUGUCACAUGCGGCCUUGUUAUCACAAUAUAACUUCAUAGGAGAUGUUGUUGAAAUCCUGAGUUCCUGUAGCAAAUUUUUAAUCCACAACAGCUCACAUACACCUUUAGCCAUGCCUCUAUACUCUGCUUCCGCACUAGAUCUAGCGACAACUCCCUGUUUCUUGCUUCGCCAUGUAACCAAGUUUCCACCAACAAACGUCAAGUAUCCUGCAGUUAAACGCCUAUCAUCAAUUGAGCCAGCCCAAUCUGCAUCAGUGUAGCCUUCAAUGUUUAAGGUCUCUCCCUUAGUGAACACGAUUCCUUUGCCUGGAGAGGAUUUCAAAUACUGUAGGAUACGCAUUACUGCCUUCAUAUGUUCUUCACUUGGAGAGUGCAUAAAUUGGCUAACAACACUGAGAGGGUAUGCCAAGUCAGGUCUAGUGUGGGAGAGAUACAUUAACCUUCCUACUAGCCUCUGAUAUUGUUCUUUAUUUACAGGAAUCUGAUUAGAAUAUGUACUCAACUUGACAUUUUCUGCAGCAGGUGUAUCACUUGGUUUGCAGGCUAACAUGCCAACUUCAUUAAGCAAAUCAACUAUGUAUUUUCGUUGUGACAAGAGUAUACCAGUGCUGGAUCUCAAGACCUCGAUUCCUAGGAAGUACUUUAAAGGUCCGAGGUCUUUCAUUUCAAAUUCACGGGAGAGAUAAGUUUGUAGGGCUUCCUUUUCAAUAGCAUCAUUUCCUGUUACAAUCAUGUCAUCAACAUAUAUAAUUAAUAGUGUGAGCUUUCCUUCAUUAUGCUUUAUGAAGAGAGUAUGAUCAGAACUACUCUGUUGAUAACCAAAUGCCUUCAUUGAGCUUGUAAAUCUGCCAAACCAAGCUCUUGGUGAUUGCUUUAAACCAUAUAAUGAUUUGCGCAAUUUACACACUUGUUUGCUCCCUUCAACCUGUAACUUACAUCCUGGAGGUAACUCCAUGUAUACUUCUUCUUGGAGAGUCCCGUGCAGGAACGCAUUCUUUACAUCAAAUUGAUGUAGUGGCCAAUCAAAAUUUACAGCUAAUGAUAAGAGAAUGCGUACAGUAUUUAUUUUGGCCACUGGUGCAAAAGUUUCUGCAUAAUGAAUUCCAUAUGUUUGGCUAUAUCCUUUAGCCACAAGCCGAGCUUUAAACCUCUCAAUCCAUCAGCUUUGUAUUUGACUGAGAGUCCAUCUGCAUCCCACAUGUUUUCUUCCACAGGUAAAUCAACCAUCUCCCAUGUUGUUUCUUUGGAGAGAUUUCAUCUCUUCGUUCAUUGCAUUUUUCCAACUAGGAUCUUUUAUAGCUUCCUGCACAUUAUUAGGAACCUGUACAAUAGAUAAUUGAUUUGCAAAUGAUUCACGUUCCUUUGACAACCUGUGGUAAGAUACAUAAUUGUUUAUUGGAUAUUUAGGGGCAGAAGUUCGGACAGGUUCAUAACUAACUCUAGGAAUUCCUCUUGUGGUACAAUUGGGAAGGAUACAGAGUGGAAGUUCAAGAUUUACCUGAGAUUCAUUUGGUGGUGACGACUCAUGAGGACUAGGAGCAUCAAGUGAAGAUAAUUAAAGUUGUGGUACAUUCAAUUCAACUAUAUUAGGAUGAUCACACAGUGCAAGCUCAUUUGUCGUUGGCUCAGUGGUUGUAUCUGUAUGUUCUGGUCCUACCAGUUCAGGUUGUUCAAGUUCAGUCAAAGUAUGACUUAUGUUCUCACUCUGAUAAGUAAAAGACUUCAAGUCACUACUCUCCCCUCCCUGAUUUGUUGUUGCAGGAAAGUACAUUUGGUGUUCAUGAAACUGUACAUCCAUGGUAACAUACACUUUGUGAGUUGGUGGAUGGAAGCACCUGUACCCUUUCUGAUGGAGACCAUAACCAAUAAAAACACAUCGGAGGGCACAUGGUUGAAGUUUAUGGCGAGCAUGUUUUGGUAUGUGUACAAAGGCAGUGCAACCAAACACUUUUGGGGGCAAGUUCAGUAUGAGUGAUGAGGGUAGGCUUUGAUUUAAUGUUUCAAGAGGUGUUUGGAAGUCUAAGCUGCGAGAUGGAAUACGGUUUAUCACAUAUGAAGCAGUGGCAAGUGAUUCUCCCCAAAAAUGAAGGGGCAUUUUGGCUUCAAUAAUUGUAGCUCGAACCAUUUCCAGAAGAUGUCUAUUUUUUCUUUCUGCAACCCCAUUUUGCUGAGGGGUAUAGGGGCAUGUAGUCUGGUGAAUUAUGCCCUGACCAUGUAAAAAUUUCCUCAUCUCAUGAUUGACAAACUCUCCACCAUUAUCAGUGCGAAGGACUUGAAUUGAAGUUUUAUAUUGAGUAGCAACCAUUGAAUAAAACUGUUUAAAGAGUGAGCAUACAUCCUGCUUUGUUUUCAUCAAACACACCCAGGUCAUGCGACUAUAAUCAUCAAUAAAAGACACAAACCAACGUGCUCCAUUCAGAGUUGGAACUUUUGCAGGACCCCAAACAUCAGAAUGUAUAAGUGUAAAUGGUGCAGAACUUUUAUUCAAACUUGGCAGAAAUGGAACACGGUGGCUCUUUGCCAAUUCACAGGUUUCACAUUUGAGUACUGGUAGAGAUGUGUUUGAAAAUAGCUCAGGAAGCAAAUGUUUUAAAUAUCCAAAUGAAAUAUGUCCAAAUCGCUUGUGCCACAACCAAAUAUUAGCAGUGGAUGUUGAACUGGUAACUGCUAAUGACUGAGCCAAUGCAUUUGAGCUAGAUGACGUGAGAUCAAGGUAAUAUAGCUUUCCUUUUUUAGUACCACAACCAAUCGUCCUCCUUGUCUUGAUGUCCUUGAAAACACAAUGAUCAGGCCAAAAAAUUACAACACAAUGCAAGGAAGUUGUAAUUUGAGAGACAGAUAUCAAAUUAAAAUUAAGGGAAGGAACUAUAAGAACAAUAUCUAAAUUGAGUUUACUUAAAGAAAAUGAACCUUUGCCAAUAACUGUGGCUUCUGUUCCAUUGGCUGUAGACACAACAUAUUUUUCAGAUGGUUUUAAUUUAGAAACAGGGGAGGUAGUGUCAAAGGACAUAUGAUCAGUUGAUCCAGAAUCAAUAAUCCAUGCACAAGAUCCAAUAGGUGCAGGUUUAUCAGAAGACUUACCUGGUGAGUUGGAGGAGGUGUGUAAUGCAGUAGCAUUGGCAUUCGGUAAAGAUACUUCAGCUAUGGCGGUGGAUACUGUUGAUGUAGUUGCAGUUUUGCCUUUAUGUUUUGGAGCCUUGGAAUGAUCCCACCAUUCAGGGUAUCCAAUCAAGUCAUAACAUCGACUUUUAGUGUGUCCGGUGUCUCCACAAUGAGUACAAUAUCUAGAUGAGCCAGACUGUUUAUUUCCAAUAUCAAAACUUCGAGAUGUCGCCACUGAACCAGGGUGAGUUUGUCGGAUAGGUGGUGUGUUUCGGCGAGCUAACAUGGCCAUAGAAUCAGGAGCAGUCAAGUCAUUUGUAAGAAGAAUUCGACGAUUUGCUUCACGACGAACAUAUGCAUAUGUGCGUUCAAGAUCAAGGCUUGGAUCCAUGCGAAGGAUUUCUCCCCGUACUUGUUCAAAUUCAGCAUCAAGACCAUUUAAGAAGAUAUGUAUCCUCAAUUUUUCAACUGAUGCUUUAUACAUAAUGAUAUCUUCAGGGUCCCUCAUCUUAACUUUAUCACGAUAAUCAAGUUCUUGAAAUAUCUCUACCAGCUCACCAUAAUAUGUAGGAAGAGAUCGACUUGAUUGACGAAUGGAGAAGGCACGUUGAUUGAGAUGAAAUAUUUGUGUUUCAUCUGAUCCGUCAUAGAAUGCUUUAGCAAGAGCACUCCAGAUUUCACGAGUAGUACGUAGGCGAAGGUACCUCUUCAUGAUCUCUGAUGACAUGGAUGUGAGUAACCAACCUUUAAUUUUUUGAUUUUCAGCAUACCACUUCGAAUAAGAGGGGUCUGUUGGUUCGGGUUGAGAUGAGUCACCAAUGAUAUAAUUGAGUUUCUCACGAUCAGCAAUAUGCAUCUCAAUUAUUUGGGACCAGGUGUCAUAAUUGGUUUCGGUGAGAAUUAUGCCAGCAUUGAAACCUGAAUUCUCAGAUUGGACAUGUAUAACAGGAGAGGAUGAUACGAGGGUUGAUUCGGUAGCCAUCGUAUUGAGGGAUAGCUUGAUUCAAUAAGUUUGCAGGGAUUUAGAAAACCUGCUCUGAUACCAUGAAGAACUGAGUUCUUUAUUUCACUUUAUUCAUCUGUGUUUCGAAUAUUUAUUAUACAGGAACACAAAGGCCUUUUAUAGACCUUUGCAAAGACUCCUAACAGACUAGGAGAUAAGUCUCGUAAGUGAUAGACUUUGUGUACAACAGACUAACGUAGAGUUCUUAACAGAAUAGGAGAGAAAUGUUACGUAGAGUUCUUAACAGACUAGGAGAUAAAUAUAACAAUCUUCUACAAACUGGAGGUUUAUAUAAUCGUUAAUUUUAAAACCGGUAAAAUUAAUCGAGGUGCACGUAAACUGACCGGACAUCUACAUUAAUAAUAAAAAAAAAACAUGCAAGUAUUAUAAGUCUCAGGUGGUAUAAUUCAAGUUGCCAUUUUGAUAUUAAAAUAACACAUUUCCAGGCCUUAUAUUUAAUAGUUUUAUGCUUAAAAAAAAAAGAGCUUGGCGUAUCACAUCCACCUAAUUAGUAUUAUCUAUAAAAAUCAAGGUUGUCAAUUUCGUUUCGGUAGGUGUUUCGUUUUUUCAAUUGGAAUGAAAUGUUUCAGUUUCGGAGUGUUUACUGUUCAUAUAUAUAUUCAACAAACAUAAUUUUAAUUCAAGAUAAAUUAAUUAUAAAUUAUGCAAUACAAACACAAUGCCAAAUAAAUAUAAUUUCAAAAUUUAAAAUAUUUCUAAAUAGUCAAGAUUAAAUAGAUCUUUAACUUAAAGUAAUUCAACUUAAACGAAAUAUCAAAAUAUUAUGAAAGUAAAAUCUUUUAACAAAAAUAUUUUAAAUAUAAAAUUAAGUCAUUCUUAUCAAGUGGUUAAUAGAAUCUAAAGCAUCCCUUGUUUUGCUCAAAUUCCUACAAAGUAUAAACAUGAAAAAAAACAUGAAUAUAAACCAUAAAUAUUAGUGAUAAAUCUAAUUUUAAAAAAUUAAUAUCAUUGUUAAUGAAAAUAGUAAUAAUAAUUUUCAAUAUUAUUAUUAAUAUCAUUGCUAUUGAAAAUAGUAAUGAAAAAAAGCUUUUUAUAAUCGGAUGGUUUAAUUAAUGAAAUUGAGCAAGGUUCAAUUUGAUUCAAUGGCUUUUCAAGAGUGAAACGGAACAUGUGGAAUGAAACCGGAACGUUUCGGGUGGAAUUUAACCGAAAAAUCCGGAAUGGACCGAGAUUUAAAAUGAGAUGAAAUUUGUUCCGUUUUUUGAAUUGGUAUGAAAUAUUUUAGUCAUUCCAGAUGAAACGAAAUGAAAUUGACAACCUUGAUAAAAAUAUAAUCUGAUCCCAUCCCAUGUCACAUACUCAUUAAAAGCUUGACACGUGUAAGAUACACUCUGAUGCAACCUGUGGUACAACGACAAAGAUAUUUUAUAUUGAUUGAGAGGUUAAGGAGGCAGUCAAUAUUUUAUAUUUCAGUCUUUUGUGGCAUUAAUAAUAAUGAUAGAAACAUUGGUUUGCUUCCUCUUGGGUGUAGGACAAGCACUACGUGGCGUUUGGGCUGCCUAUACUUUAAUAUUUUUAGUAUAAUUAAUAGUGUUGAUCUCAAAAUUAUUAUUAUUAUUUUUAGUAUAAUUAAUAGUAUUAAUCUCUAAAAUAUUAUUACAUUUGGUGUUGUAAAUAAUAUGAUUUUUAUAAUAACUCAAAUUAAUGGCAAAGGGAAGAGAUGAAAGAAGAAGGAUGAAUGCAAACCUAUCCAUCAAAAUCCUUCUAUCCUCCCUGCAAUUCCUUCCAAAUUAUGUGCUACAAUGAUUUUCUUCGCGAUUGAAGUAAGUUAGACUGGAUUGCCUAAAUAUGAUGAAUAAAGGGUUGGAUUUGCAAAAUUAUUUACACAGUUUAAUUUGUUGAUUUGAUACAUCUCAAUCUGUGAAUUAAUAGAAAAGAAGAAGAAGAAGAAGCUAGUACUAAACCAAUAAGUUUACACAUAAUCCAUGAACGUAUCUCAUAGGUCACAACAUUUUCCUUCAUUAUUGGUCACUAAUAUGUUACUAUUGAAAAGAGUAACUUAACAAUGGUCUAUAGGGUCUUUUCUAGGUGUUUUAGGGUGGUUUGUAUGGGUUUUUGGUGGCCAUGAAUUAACUUAACAAGGUCUUUAGGGUCUUUUCUAGGUGUUUUGGGUAAAAAAUAGAUUGAAAAUUAGUUUUUAAAUAAAAAAAAAAACAAAAGACCAUAUUUUUUCAGUCACCAUAAUGGCUGAAUUCUAGGUUGUGUAGAGGAUGCGUCAUUUUUCCAGCCCCUUACGUACAAUUUUUUUUAAAAAUAAAGUCUUGCGCGCUAACCAUUGCUUUAUUGGGUAAGACGUUGGCCUUCGCUUGCUAGGCCUAACAAUACCUGGCCUGAUUUCUUUUUUAUUAUUUUUUUAAUUUUUAAUUUUUCUUUUUAAAUAAAUCAUUAUUUGUGUGUAUUUUAUAAAAUAAAUUUUGGGUUUAUAUUUUAAUUAUAUUGUGAUUAUUUUUAAAUGACAUUUGGUGUGUUUAAUUUUUAAAGAGAUAGAUAUGAUUCAUGUUAUUAUUUAAAUUAUCCGAGUGAAUUGAACUCAUUAGAGCCAAUUCCCUAUAUAUUAUAUAUUUUUUAAGUAUUUAUUUUUUUUCAAUAUUUUUAUGCUAAAACAAAUAAACCUUAGCGUUAUAGCGUAUCGCAGCUAGUAUUACCUGUAAACAUAUCAUCUUAUCCCAUCCCAUGUCAAAUACUCAUUAAAAUAAUUUGUUGUCAAUUAUUUUAUAUUUCAUUCUUCUGUCGCACGUGUGCGGCGGCGCGACGAUCGUCCACCCUCAAGGGAAAAAUCGGAAUAUUUAUUCCUGGAAAAAAGGGAGAGACAAGGAAUUCUUGUCUCUAUAUGUGAAAAUAUAGACUGGGAGUCGCCACCUAGUUUUCUGGUUACUAGGAACCUUAACUAGUCUUUAGAGAUCGGGUACGGAGACUGGUUGCGUAAAGGGAAGGUAUUAGCACCCCAACUACGCCCUACCUAAGGUAUGCUGCAUUGUUUUAAUGUCUGAUAAAAUUUAAAAUCGUGUUGUGGUUUUUGAAUUGUUGGUUCGUUUACGGUUUAAGAAAAGUCCUCCUCCGUAAGGAGAUCCUUAUCUUUAUCGGGUAAAAAAUUAACUAUUCGAAGUCGUCAAAAAAAAAUAUUUUUUUAAUAUCAGGAAUACGAUUUACGUAUAAAUUCAUAAUCCUUGAUACUAAAAUCAAACAAAAUAAAAUAUUUUGUUGUUUUUGAGAUUUUGGCCAAUGUUCUCUUGACUUUAAUAAACUGGUUAUUAAAGCCAAAAUGCAUGCUAAAAUAUUGUUUUUUGACAUAUGAAAAAUACGAUAUGAUUUUUUAGAUUUGAGAUACUUGGCCGUAUGCACAAAAACAUUUUUUAUUUUUUUAUUUUUGUAUUUUUUGGAAUUUUAAUAUCGGAUUUAUAUUUUUUACGAUGUAAAAAUACUGCCCGAUAUUAAUCAAAAUGACAUAAAAAAUUACGCGGAAAAAUUAUAAAAUGCUGAAAUAAUUAUUUUUGAAUUUUUUCUUUCUGAAUGUGAACAGUGCCUUUAUUGGGUAAGACAUUGGCCUUCACUUGCUAGGCCUAACAACACUUGGCCUGAUUUUUUUUUAAUUUUUAGUUUUUCUUUUUAAAUAAAUCAUUAUUUGUGUGUAUUUUAUCAAUUAAAUUUUGAGUUUAUGUUUUAAUUAUAUUGUAAUUAUUUUUAAAUGAUAUUUGAUGUAUUUAAUUUUUAAAAAGAUAGAUAUGAUUUAUAUUAUUAUUUAAAUUAACCGAGUCAAUUGAACUCAUUAGAGCCAAUUAUCUAUAUAUUAUAUUUUUUUGAAGUAUUUAUUUUUUUCAAUAUUUUUAUGCUAAAACAAAUAACCCUUAGCAUUGUAGCGAAUUGCAGCUAGUAUUACCUGUAAACGUAUCAUCUGAUCCCAUCCCAUGUCACAUACUCAUUUAUAGCUUGACACGUGUAUGAUAUACUCUAUGGUGCAACUUGUGGUACAACAACAAAGAUAUUUUAUACCGAUUGAGAGGUUAAGGAGCCGGUCAAUAUUUUAUAUUUCAGUGUUUUGUGGCAUUAAUAAUAAUGAUAGAAACAUUGGUCCACACUGUUAGUUUCUUUCAUGGCAAAGACUUUUCCCUCGGGUCGAUGAUGAAGAAUAUUUGUAGUGUUCUUGGUUAUUCCUUAUUGUCGAGAAGCUUGUGCCUUGUAGCAAUCUAUCACGGGGGUGCUUGUCAAGAAAGAUGUCCAUAUUAAAGGGUAGAAGUGGUAAAUAAAAGAGAUGACAGAAGGAGGAUGAGAGCACAUGAUCUCUCUAGGAAUUCUAUGUACAAUUAAUGCUCGAUAAUCAACUUCUUUUCGCGGUUAAAAGAUUAAAGAAUUAAUUUUUAUUAUUAAUAAUUUGUUACUCUUUCAAUAGAGAAUGGCUUUAGAUUAAAUUUUUAUUUAUUUAUACUUUAUUGAAAUUAUAUUAAAGAAAACAAAUUUCCAGCGCAAAGCAUAACAACACACCUUUUCAUUUAUUUUUUCUUAUUUUGUUUCUUUAAUUUAGUUUUAAUUAUAUCUUUUUUUUUAAAUCUGUUAGUUUAACUAUUUUUAAAUAGUAAUUAAUCUUUUGGAUGGGUUUUUAAAUUUCAUAAUAUCUCAAAGGGAUUAUUGUAAUUUAUUUUAAUUUUUUUAUUAAUUUUUUUUAUAGCUAGAUAAGUUAUAUUUGCAUUAUAUGUUUUUAAUGAUGAAAAUAAAAUGUACUUAAUAACCAUAAUAAACCUUCAAGAUACAUAAAAAAAAAAACUCAUCUGUAAAAAAUGAAAUGCCAAGUCUAUGUGUACUGUCAAGUCCAAAUCUAUUGAUGCCAGACCCAUAUAUUUAUAAUAAAUAAAUAAAUAAAAUAACACAUCAGUUAUAUUGAUUUCCUUCGCAAUUGAAGUAGGUUAGGCUGGACUGCCUAAAUAUGAUGAAUAAAGGGCUGGAUUUGCAAAAUUAUUUACACAUUUUAAUUUGUUUGUUGAUUUGAUACUUCUCAAUCUGUGAAUUUACACUGCAUUAGUAGUUAAGAACUUAGAAGGUGAACUGACAGAAAAGAAGAAGAAGAAGAAGAAGAAGCAUUAGUACAAUUUCCUAUAUUCGAUGGUCCUCGAACCUAAUAUGUUAUUACUGAAAAGAGUAAAUUUCUGAACCUAACUCACAACAAUUUCCUUCAUUAUUGCUCACUAAUAUGUUAUUACUGAAAAGAGUAAAUUUCUGAUCACUCUAUUUCUGAGAUGGCUGCCAACUCUUGGUGAAGACGUCUCGCUGGCAUCCGGCCUGCGCUGGUUCUCUUAGGGACAGAGGAGCUAAAAGGAUCAGGAGGCUUUGUUAAGUUUUCUCCUUCCCCUUCAAGCAUCUGGACAACAGUUUUCAUGGAAGGACGCUCUGCUGGGUUCCACUGAAUGCACCAUAGCCCCACAAUUGCUAGUUUCUUCGCAAUUCUAGCAUCUUCUUCUCCAUCGAUAUGAAACCGCAGGUCUUCUUCCUUUUCUAAGAGAUUAUAAAUCCAUUCCGGGAAGUAUAUCUGGUCGCCAUUUUCUGCUGUAUCAUCGACGUUCUUCCUUCCUCCAACCAUUUCCAACACUAACAUCCCAAAGCUGUAAACAUCUGAUUUAUAGGAAACAUUCCCGAAGUUCCUCGAGAACACUUCCGGGGCAAUGUAGCCAACAGUCCCCCUAGCAGUCGUCAUGGAAAUAGCACUUUUAUCCUUGGAACACAACUUAGCCAUCCCAAAAUCGGCGAUUUUGGGAUUGAAUUCGUUGUCAAGCAGGAUAUUCUGUGGUUUGAUAUCAAAAUGGAGGAUUCUUUGAUCGCACCCCUGGUGAAGAUAUUCAAUCCCCUUGGCU
rnacentral:lncRNA from 1 species